GGUGUUCUCGAUUAAUGAAGUUAGAUCCUUCCAUCUGUCAUUUAAAAUGCUUAACUACCUUAAAUUUGAGGUUCUGCGAUGAACUCAAUAUGUUGCCAUUUGAACUGGGUAACAUGAAAACUCUUAAGGAGGUUCUUAUUGAUGGGACUUUGGUACAAAAAAUUCCUGUGUCAAUGGGUUACAUGAAGAAACUUGAGAUUUUUAGUGCAUCCAACUGUUUCCAAUUAAGACACCUGCCUGACUCAGUCUGCGGCUUAACAGCUCUUUCGGUACUCUCACUGGAAAAUGCAAAAAUUACUCGAAUCCCCUGCCUCUGUUGAAAACCUGGUGAAACUCCAGAUCCUGUCUCUAAAGGAUUGUCGGUGGAUAGGAAAUCUUCCGCAUUCAAUUUGCAAUUUGAGAAACUCAUUAAAGGAGUUGGAUAUAACGGGGACAGGCAUAUCUGAAUUAUCCAAUUCAAUUACUUGCUUGAGGCGUUUAAAAGUGUUAAAAAUGGAUUCUUGCUUCAUUAGAGAAUUGCCUGGAGAAAUUGGAGAUUUGGUCGACCUUGAAGAGUUACAUGCUUCUCAUUGUAGGAGUUUGAAGGGAGCCAUUCCAUCUGCUAUUGGGUGUCUAUCUCGUCUGAGGAUACUGAGAUUGGGGCAUUCCAGUAUUUCUGACUUUUCUUCGAAAAUUGGAAGUCUUUCUUGUCUUCAGACUCUCGAUUUACUUCAGUGCAACGAGAUUCGAGAACUGCCAGAGCUUAUUUCCAGUUUAACUUGUCUACAUGCGAGUUCUGAAAGGAUGGAGGCCUUGCCAGAUCUUAGGUAUUUAGUGAAGUUGGAGGAGAUAUGUCUGGGUGAUAAAGAUCCUAAGGAGCUCAGACGUUCCUCAACACGGAUGGAGCCAACAUUUAGAUCGAGAGAUCUCUUAGCAGUGCCCAUAGUACUUCCAAAACUGAAGAUAUUAGAGUUGUCCCAUUCUCGAAUCGGUGAACUGCAACUUCGGCAUGGUUCCCUCUCAUGUAAACAUCUUAAGAAGCUGGUUCUAUCUGGUGCGAAUCUUAAAAAGGUGCCAGAACUUCCCUCGUCAUUGUCCGUUUUAUCCAUUCGACAUUGUUUGUCUUUAAGACAAUUGCCAGCAGUGCACCAUUUGAGCAAACUAUCAGAACUAAAUCUCAUCCAAUCCGCGGUAGAAGAGAUUAAGGGGCUUCAGGGACUAAUUGCUCUGGAAAUCUUGAAUAUAACACAUUGCGAAAUACGUAAUCUCAAUGGGCUUAGCCAAUUAAUGGAGUUACGAAGUUUUAUUUUGUCAGACUGUGAUUUGCUCCAUGGAUUGCCCGAUAUAUCAAACUUGAAGAUGCUGAAUGUCCUAGUAGUCCAAAGAUGCAGGAUGAUCCAUGCUAUUGAAGGCCUUAUGGAGUUAACCUCCUUGGAGGAGCUGCGUGUUAGUGAAUGCGAGGCAGAAAGCACACAGCAAGUACAGGAUGCAUUAAAGCUUGUGAUGGAAGGUUCAAUAAACAGUUGAUGUCCUGUGCUCCUGGAGUGGACAUUCGGUUAUUUACAUGGCUCUUCGGACACAAUCGAAACCAUAGGGUGACAUCAUUGGAGUCCCUUGUGACAUUGAGUAGGCAAACUGACGGCAAAAUUACUGGAGCUGCAAUCUGAAAGUUUUUUGAGUCCUUUGUCUAUCAGAAGUGGAAGCUAGUGCCAUAAACAAUUGCCCUUGCACAACCUCACUGGUCAUUGGAGGGCGGCUUUCGUGUCGUGAAUGCUGAAUUUUCGUUGAGAGCUGUGUAGGGGGAGAGUCGGUUCGUUUGCUGUUGCCACUAUCUUCAUUGAAUUGGAUAACCAGUUUUUUGGGCCUUUCCUUAUGAUAUGUUGAUUUUCUUUUGUGUUGUUUCACAGCAUGUUGUCCGUUAAUUGCUUUGCCAAGGCGGCUAGCCAUCUGGCUUUAGCUUCAAUAUAUGUGGCUUUUGUGAUUAUAUUCAUCUCAGAAGUUCAGAAGUACUUUUAGUUUGCAAUGUUUAUACUUGUUUAUUAACCUAGUCUGAAUAGUUUGGCUAAUGUCCUCUGUUUUGAUGAUGUGUAAUUUGGAAAGCAAUGUCGUUUAUCUAAGAAUUUGAUGUAGUUUUUUCAGUCUAUGGACAUGCUCGAAGUUCUCUAUCUUGCUUUCUCUUGCCCUUUGUUUUUUCAGUAAUACCCCAUGACUUGAUGUUGGCAGUUCUGUUGGUUUCCAGAUUGGACUGCUUCUUGUUUUAGGUAGAGUAAUUGGACGGACAAUUUUUACAGUUGUUGACAUUGUUUGCCUGUCGCUCGCAAAAUUGACAGAACAAUUUGACCUGGGGUGUCAAAUGUCUCAUGAUCCUUUUCUCUUUUUCUUUGGUGGAAAACACCUAUAUGGUAGAAGUCAAGUUUGUCUUUGCCAUUCUAGUGAUUCAAGUAGCAUGUACUCUCCGAGGGAUUUUUCUUUAUGUAACAUGCGAAGAGAUAUUACUCUUAUUGAAAAAUAAAAGAACAUUUGUUCUAUAUUUUUAUCUUCAAUUUGAAAUUUCCAAACUGGGAAGGGUUUGAUAUCUGAAGAGCGUCCAUCGUGGUAUUGACCGAGUCUUCUCACUUAUGGCAGGUGAAUGAUCCUCCAGUCAGAAACUCACAAGAAGCUUUCAUGAUGGAGAUGCGCGCAGCAAGAAUGGUAAGAUUUGGACUUUAAUCUGAAGUGAGGUUUGGCUAUUUAAUUAUUGUAACCUACAAAGGAUAGUUAAUUCUGCUCAUUAACCCAAAAAGCAGUGCAUGUUUGGCAUAUAUGUUUACCAUAGGUCAGUUUGGUAAUCCCCUGCUAAAUCCAUGAGAGACUCAAAAUUGCAGGGCUAUGCGACUUCUAGAAAAUGGAUGUAGAAUUUCUUUUUCAUGAUAAUGGGAAUUUCAUAAUCUCAGAAAUUGCGUUUGUCACACAUGUAUUAGCAUUUAGGAAUAGCCAUAACCAUAAUGCGAAAUGACCCUCACAAUCUGGAUUUUCUGUAUAGUUUAAAUGAAUUUGAGUGAACACAAAGGUUUACUUCAAAAUUAGCUACUCGAAUCUGCAAAAUGCAGGUGGCUAAGCAUUAUUAACUUUUCAAGGAAUAUGAUGAAGCGACGAGAGCAUCUUUCUAUAGUUUAAAUGAACUUGAGGGAAAAUGAGUGGCAUUCGAGAUUAGUUACUUGAAUAGGUGAUGCGUGUGGUUAAGGACUAAAAACUUUUCUAGGAAUAUUAUAAAGCGGUGGGAGCAUCUACUUGUAAUGCUUCAGAAAGAUUAACCCUGGAUUCAUCUGCUCCUUUACUUUCCGAAGCUUAUCAAAGAAGCAGCUUCUCUGUGCUCAUGUAUUUGUCUCCUCUGCCAUUUGAUUCAUGUACCCGAAAAAGGUUCAAGCGGCUGAGUCACUGCUGAAAUCGGUAUCGGAGCUGAAACAGACUGCCAUAUUUCAGGAUUCGCAUCUCUGAAUGACUAUGUUGAACAAAGAAUCGUCGAGUUAAACCAGCAAGCUGAAAAAUCAGAUUGUACGUUGUCUAGAAUUGCGGAGGAGGCAGCUGCCAGUCUCAAAGAGCUCAAAUCUCAUUAGUACUCUGUGUCGCAGAGGACGACUCAUCUCACAGAAUCUUAGUGGAAGAUGGCUGUGAUUUUGUGUAUUGAUUUUGGGGGAUUAUCGUGACUUGUUACUUAUCUUGAAGCUAACAAAAGCUAUGUACGCUAACGGAGAUUCUAGGGUAUUCUUUAAUUUCAGCAGGGUGAUUGGGAGGCUUGCACUCGCGGUUCGAGAGCUAUGUGAUGGAAUGAAUUUGAUAUUCUAAAUAGGGAGUAUUGAGGAGAUAUUUGACUUUGGAAUUCAUCCAAAAUACUUGUCAAUGACUACUGAGUGCAAAUCUCUCUUAGCAAAGAGAUUAGCUACUUGGACUUCCAAGUCCUUACGUUUCUCUCCUGUACUUCUAUUUCUACGAAUUUGCAGCCGAUGGCUGAAUGAGAUGGAAAGCUUUUGCAUGAUUGAUCCCAUGCGAUCCCCCGGUCCAAGCGUAGAUGACCUGCAUUGGAUCGAACAAGAGCCCAGGGCUUACUCUCUUCUUAAAAGCUGGUCCAUGAAGCCACUUGCUCUCUACAAUAGCAAGGAGGCCUUUAGCUUUUAAUUAUAUGCUCCCUUUUUUUUUGUCGAAAUUAUAUGCUCGUGCAGGAAUUUUGGCUUUUUGAAAAAUAUUUUUAAAGAAGUCAUUUUCUAGGAAAAUAGUAAUAUUUUCCAAAGCUUGGCUGAAUUUGAAAAUGGACUGUGGAUUAUUUUCCGUGCUUGGAAAUGAAAAUUUAACUUUUUUUCCGGAAGAAACAUGCACUAUUCACAUUACGUGUGUACAUGGAUAAAAAAUUUCAUUGUUUUGGGCGGUCUAUAAAUAGAAUUUGUGAAAAAUUUAAAUGGUAUCAUUCAUUAACUAGACUUUUAAAAUAAUUGAAUAUGUUGACUUUGAGUUAACAAAACUAAGGCUCAUCUCAUUUUAUUAGACAUAGGCCUAGCUGUCGAGGUCCCGAAGACUUGGACAUGAUUGCCGAAAUCUUGAUCAUGAAGCAUUAAGGUCUUGGGUCAAAUCUCGAGGGACUAAGGCCCAGUCGCUACGAUCCUGAAUCCGGGUGUUGAGGACCCCGCAUUGGUCGAAGACUGGGCCUUGACCUUAGGGGACUCGAGCCUCCUACUGAGGUUCCAAUUUUCUUGGGCCUAGCCAUUCGGAACUCGAGCAUAGGCGCCGGAGAUUGGGGCCCAAUCUCGAUAGACUGAUCUCGAGCAUUGUUGACUUGAUUGCAAGAGCCAAGUAUUCAGGCACGGUAGUCGGUGACUCGGGCAUGGACAUUGGAGUUUUAAGUCCGGCCUUAAACGAUUUGGGACCAACCUCUUUAUAUCCUGGUUUGGCUUAUCUAGCCCUGAUGGACAUUAGUCAUAAGUUAUUGUUGCUUUGUUGAAUAUAUUUAACGUAUUUGGUGUAAAAUCAAACAGAGCUUUUAUUACUUGUUAUAUAAUUUGCCACAUUGUGUUAAUAAAUGAAAAUUUGAUUGAGUAAAAUUAUGAAUGCUUGCGGUGCCUUGAUCUUCAACAAAUGUUAUUGUUUUGGUUCAUCCGUGUCUUUGUUUUAGUUGCACACUGGUGUGGAAUAAUCUUAUAUUUUUAUGAGUACCGUGAUGAGACAGUAAUGACGACGUCCUUCAAAAUGACCAUAAUUUCGACUCAAAUUAAUAUUCUACCACGGGCGUGAAAAUCAAUAAUUGACGACACUAGUUGUCUAUUCUUAUUAUUUAAUUUAAUUUUAUAUGAAAAAGAAAAGCUCGCGCAGCUUUUUUCAACAACAGAAGAACCAAUUUGCUAUCCAAUCCGAAAAAGAAAAAGAAAGAUCUGCUUAAAGUCCAGCUUAAAAUGAAACCUCGUCUCAAAACCCAAAAAGGCCCAAACCCGCAUGUCGUUUUGGAGCGAAACGGCGCGUCCUCGUCCUCCAUUGCCCUAGCCUACACCACUUCCGGAACGACACCCCCAAAAGCUCAAACGGCAAAACAAAACCCUCCUUCGCAAAUACCAUCCUUAGUUAUGGUAUAUGUUAGUUUCCCAAAUACCAAUAUCUGUGUGUGGAAUGAUUGAAAAGAAUAUUGCUAAGUACCGUUGGUCCUCCGCAGAAGGCAAAACUGGAGUCCACUGGAGAAGCUGGAAAAGUUAUAAGGAGGAAAAAAUAUGUCAUCUUGCUUCAAUCAAUCCCUUUUAGACUGUCAAUGAGAAAGUACUUUUAUGUACGAAUACACGACGUGAUAGUGUGAUGUGAUAUAACAUAUGAGUAACCUUUACCCAUGUGCCAAGAGUUCACCCACUUGGUGAUUUGUAUGUAUGCAUCUCGCUCUGGAAAAACAUACGAAAGUUUGUUCCCCGGUUCCAACUCCAGAACACAGUGAUCAAACUACAACAAGAAAAGGUUCUUCAAAAAUGGAUUGGGUGUGAAUGUAUGUGUAAAGGGCGUGCCAGCUCUUCGAAUCAAAAUAUGAUGCAGAAAAUGCUACGUGGAUGAGGAAAUCAAAGUGCUUGAAAAUUGAAGUUGUAAAGAUUGAAAUUCAAGGAAAGAAUUGUAACUAGAGUGAUGAAAAUUGAAAUUAAAAUACAAACAUUGAAAAUGAAAUUACCUUGAAAUAACUUGAAUGUCAUGAAAGCGUUGACGCUCAAACGAGAACAUCAAAAUGAGCACUACUAUAUUGUUAUAUUACAAUGCACAUGAUCGACAAUCUCAACCCUAAAGUACUACUAAAAUUGAAAUACGUUGGUUUAGUAGGAAAAUGCUACAUAGCAAAGUUGGCAGAGUUUUGGCAUAACUCAAGCGUCUCUUCUCCCUCCAUGUUUUUCAUAUAUAUGCUCCUUAGGUUUUCUUUGACGAUAACUGAAAUUCUCGUGCAUUUCCACGGUUUUCUCCAUUCCACCCUUUUGGUAACUCAAUUCUCAUGGCCAUCGUGUAUUUUGUGACAAUAGUCUCUUCUAGAGGAGCCCAUUUGACUUCAUUACCGUGCCCGCUCUUAGUUCAAACAGAUAAAGGUCAUCUCUCUCUCCUUGAGCAAGAUAGCUAUUAAUACACUUCACGUCAAAGCGAAGCGAAGCAAGCUUUAUAGACCGGAUGAUCUCUGGUUCGAAGUCGAACUCGUCGGGUUCACCUCGACGUGACUCAACUUUUUAUGCAGUCACUCUACUUCCUGAAAUAAACUCAGACCUGUUUGCAUGAUGAGGAUCUGACUGGACUCGUCUGUUUGGACAGUGAAUACGCAACAUGUCUUUAUUUUGGACUUUGUCUCUCGGGCUGAAGAUUUGCUAUUAUGAGUUGGAAGCAUCAUCAUGUCUAGUACUACCAUGUCUGGCCCAAACAAAUGUUUCGUAGGCGCAAACCUAGUGACAUAUGCACGGAAGACUCCCCUACGCUUCUAAUUGGUCAGUUAGCUCAAUCUAAUUACAGCAUGAAGGAUAAGAAACUAACAGCUAUUGGAUGUGUUGGUCCUGUUGAAGGGGUGAAGUACUUGAAGUAAGGGCAUCUGGAGAUAUUGAUGGUUGGACCGGCUAUCGAACCGGGAAAGGAGGAGGAAGACCUCUGAAAAGAAGAGUCCAAGAAAGACGGCAAGAAAGAGGAUAUAUGACAAAGAGAAGAUGGAAUAUCAGACUGCAGAGCUAGUUAAGGUCUACAAUGCGUGUUAUCCAAGAAACUACAUUUGGCCAUGUGAUAAGGAAUAGAACCCAGAUGCAUGGCGUUCUCUAUUGAUCGUCUGCUCGAAGAUCUUGUUGAAUCAAACUCAAGCAAGCUUGCCAAUUCUCAGCUUGUGAGCACAACUUGAUGGGUUCAGGAACUAAUCGAGUUUCUGUUAUAAGAGUUGAUUACUAGUUAAAAAUAGACAUUGACAUAAUCAGAAUUGCAUAAUAAACAAAUGUUACUCAAGCUUUUUUUAGCUGAGCUCAUUCAUUUCAUGUCGAUUGUAAUCAAAUUGAGUCGAGUUUCGAUCAUCAAAUAUGUCAGUCCAGUCAAGCUCAAGCUCGAACAAUAUGACUUGACUUGGUUAUACCCUAGAAAAGUUAUGAUCGUGAACAGGAGGGAAGUGCUCAUAAAAGUAGUGAUGCAAGCCUACCAAGUUAUGCUAUUUAUGUUUCAAGAUACCAAUAUCUGUCUGGAAUGAUAUAAAAAAAAUUCCGAAUCACCUGUGAUCCUUCGCAGAAAACAUAAUUGGAGUCCAUUAGAAGGUUCAGAUGCUCUGAGCAUUUUCCUAGAUACACUGCCCACCAGAUUUUGGCAAUUCCUUAAGUUCGAAUGCAAUUGAAGAUAGCCAAAUUUGGCCCUUGAAUCGAAUAGGAUAAUUCAGUGUAAAAAGUGGGGAAAAUGAUAUAAAUGACAAAUGAACUUUGACCUAAUGUACAAUGUCAUUCCUGAACUUUUAAUUUAUUCAAUAUAGUUUUUUUUUUUUUUACUUUAACUCAUUAUGCAAUGUCGUCCAAGAACUUUAAUUUGUUCAAUUCAGUCCCUAAUUUUUUUGUAAAUGUUCAAUAUAUUUCCUAAACUAUAUGAAUAAAUCCAAAUUUGUCUUUCUAUCAAUUCAACUUCAUAGAAUUUACAAAUCUAGCUUGCAAUCCGGUACGUUUGAACUAUAAAAAAACGUUACACAUGAAUUAUUUAUAUAAGAUAAUCAGCUCAAUUUCGAAUAUAGUAAACCUUUUAAUUUUUUAUAUGUUUAAUUUGUUCGAUUUGAUGAUGUAGAUUAUUAUAUCCUCAUUUGAGCUAAAAUCUUAUAUGGAUAAUGUUGAUACCUGAAUUUUGCCAACGAAUUCAUUGUACGUCUUUCAAAGAAAAUCAUUUAGAAAUUAAGUUUGCUUGAAGCGGCGGAAGUUGAAUCAUGUGAAAAAAAAAGUCAGUUUAUAUGACCAUGCAUUCCUUACUCUCGCCGUCUCCCUUGUGCAAGUAUAUACUAUAAGCAUGAUAGUUCAUUAAUAAUUAGGGUUCCUUUUGUGUAGGUCAUCUAUACAUCUCGUGAAGUUUAGUGAUCAAAUUAUUCAAUUCGACCCUUAAUUGAAAACGUCAGUGUUACAUCAUUCUGCGUCCUUUUUUUCUUUUUUCCCCAUUGUGUUUCUUUUGCAUUUUUGAGCCUGGGACAUUGAAGUACUGCGGCCUCGAGCCCUACAGCUGAAGUUUUGGCCAAUAACAAUCUCGGAGAGCCUUGAACGCCCCAAUCCACAUUUGGACUCAAUCUUCUCCCAGGCAAUUUUGACUCAUCUUUUCCUAAUCUUCUGAAGGUGCAAACGGACUCGGAAAAUUGCAUAAUAGGUGUCGCAACGAGCAUCUUCGAGCGAAUUUUCCAAUGAUAUAUGGCUUAUGCUCUAACUCCAAGCCCAUGGGCGAACACCGGUGAUGUAUGGGAUUUGAAAGUGGACUUCUUGAUAUUUUUUUGGUCUCAAAGGUUUACACAAGUUACAUCAACAUGUUGACUAACUCCCAUAAAAAUUGUAGCCUAAUAAGACGAACGACGAGCGGUACUCACUUUUUAUGCGCAACAGACCCAAAUUGCGCAUUCCCACUUUCAGUCCUCUAACCAUCCACUUAAUCUUGCAUUUUCUUCACAUCAUUACACCCUUAGAACCGCUCGCUAUGUAGUCCAGGUUGGACAAGAAAAUAAUAAGUAAUGAACUGGAAUUGGAGUCCAAAGACCAGUUGCUUCUACUGGAGGCUGCUUUGCCCUACUUUGCCGCAAUUGCAGUUGCAAUCAAGCUGAAAUGUGGGAAGGAGGCGGUGGCAGAGUGCUGCAGCUUGGGUUGGUGACCAUCCAAGGUUGAUUGAAAUGACAAGUUCAAUAGAAAACUCAUUGGACAAAGAGGAAAACCUGCUGGACAAAAAAGAGCAGUAAUUGGACUGAAUUUAGAGGGUCGUGGGCGUGAGUAUUGGGUUUUUGGAGGCCAUUCUCUUCUAAAAGAAACCUUGGGAGCUUGAAGGUGAUAGUUAGAGAGCAGAGUGAGGGAAAACUGUGGCAUAGUGUAGAGAGUGAAGCAAGGACAAACCAUACCAAAAUAGUAACUUUAACCCAGAAUAUUCGGGACCAGCCCAUUGAGAGAAAACAAAAUUUUAUAACCUUCCAGCUGAAACUAGCCAAAACAUUACUGUAGAGUGAAAGUUGUCGGGGCUAACAAUACAACCUAAUGGGUGAAUAUAUUGUUUAAGAAUUAUGAAAAGGAUUUGCGGAAUAUAACAAAUUUAAGGGGAAAGGCCACAAGAAAAACUUUAAACUUUACCCAGACUGACACAUUUACCCUAAAUUACCAAAAAUCCUAGACUUUACUCAUUGCGACACAUUCACCCCCAAACCUUUUUCUGUGACACCAAAAACCCCCAAAUUUUUAUCUCUACGGCAUAUUUAUCUCACACUUUUUUUUGUGAUACAAACCCCCCCUUUUUUUUUGUGAUGCAAAAAACCCCCCAACUUUUUUCUAUAACACCAACUUUUUAGAGUAAAUAUGUCACACAAAUAUGAAUUUAGGAUUUUUUGGUGUCAUUGAAUUUUUUUUUUGGAAUUUUUGGUAUCACAAAAAAUAGUUUUUAGAUAACUGUGUCACAUUGUACAAAUUUAGGGCUUUUUGUGUCACAAAAAAAAAGUUUGGAGGUAAAUGUGUCACGGUGGGUAACAUUUAGAGUUUUUGGUGGCUUUUAGCCCAAAUUUAAAUAUAAACAUCAUCAUAAAUAUAUUGUAGAAAUUGGGUGCUUGUGCUGCUUUUUAACAUACUAUGAUGAUUAUAAACACGUAACGUCAAAAGUGAAGAGAUAGAAGAAAUUGCAUGCAAAUAUAUAGUGGUUCGGCUUUAUCCUCAAUCCUACAUCCACUCUUAACACUGGCAAUUACAACAAAGUUGGAAUCCAUUAGUAAACUUCAAGAUAACUCACAAUCAGCAAGUAUUGCUUUUCCAAUAAAUCACACUAUCAAGGCUUAGGUACUACUAUCACUCUUGUACCCUUGCUCGUCACUAAUUACAAACAUUAGCAUGACACAAACAUUGAUAUUAGGAAUAUGCAACAAAUAUUAAUAUAGAUAAAGCAAAGAAGAAGACUCAAAACACAUGACCUAUUUUGUACGUUCCCACCCAACCUAAUUACUUCUCUUGGACAAUAUAUAGUCAUCCAUCCUCAUACAAUCGUUGCACAUCGAAAUCCUCAAGUGGCCAUUGGUUCAUAAUUGCCAGGAAUAGGACAUUGCGACAAAUCAUUAGAACAACUCUUUGACAUCAACAUCUCUUUGAUAGUGGUAGUUUCCUAAACAGUGCCUAUGUACUUUUGUCAGACUUGCUCAUUAAUGCCAUAUCUACUUCUAAUCAGUUUUGGUGAUCUUUUUUCGGAUUCCAAGCAUUUGUAAUGGUUAUUUUGUUCUUCUCUAAAGUUUCAAUUUGUUGAUCAAGUGACUGGCACUUUUCAACACUAAAUAUUGACAAGAUCCUUUACCCCUAAUCAGGACAUGGAGAUUUUUAUUAGUUUGCUGAUGUUGUCCACUGACAAAUCAUGUGAAAUGACUUACAAUCAAUCAUUUAAUGAUUCUUUUGAGUAUUUCAAUUGCCAAAGAUGUAACUUUGAUGAAAGAUUGACCAUAGUACCUCCAAGUCAUCUUGAAUAUCUCAUCAUCUUUGACUUGUUGUCCUCCAUGUCGAGAUCUUCAUUUUUGUACUUAGUCUUCACUGAAUUCACAUAGGUCAUUGAUGUCAUCACAUUCUUUCGUCCCAUCUAUAUAAUGUAGCUGCUCUUUGCCAAUAAUCUACUACACUCGAUAAUGAUGUUGAUCUUUUUUGUCCUUCCAAGUAUGCUGGCAAUUUUAACUAUACCAAGCCAUUCAUUUUCAUGUUCCUUCCAAGUUUCACUAAACAUCUUUAUUCUAGGCUUGUUCACCAUUACCGGGUUCAUUCAACAGUUCACCCAAUUUUUGUACCUCCAAGCCAUCAUGAACAUCUCUAUUCUUCUUGGCUUGUUUACCCUCAAUUAAGGUCCUUCCAAAUGUUCUCCUUGUUUAAAGAUCCUGCUAGCUUGUAGACAUUUCGAUGCUCAAUAUAUUGACGAAGCAAUCUUGACAAUGGGAAAGCACUUCUUAUAUAAGAUCUCUUGGUGUUGUUUAUGACAUCAUUUGCAUUGUAGCUUGUGCAUAUAUCACUUGGUAAUAUUCAACCAACACACAAAUAAUUAGCCUUUGAUUGUCUUUGUCAUUGUCAAACAACAUAGGAGAUCUUCCAACAAUCACCACAUUGGUGAUUUUCCCAACAAAAGUACACUUAAAGAUCUUGCUAACUAGUCGCACGUCCCAAAUGGACAUUGGGAAGUCCUCCUAAAGCCCCAAGCCCCAGCCCCCCCAAAAAAAAUACCCCAUUUCUUGGGUUAGGCAGAAGUCUAAUUUUUUUUUUCUAGGUUGGGGUUGCUUAGGGGCUAGAAAAAGAGAGAGAUUUAAAGAAAAAACCAGAAGAUGUUGAACCAAACCAUUUAUUUUACAUUAAAUUAGGUAUGUAUAUGCAAACCAAGACUUGAUAGUUAAACUGAGGUACAUAUAAUUGAAGUAGGUGACAAAGAAAUAGACAAAAGAGGUGUAGGCAUAAGCUAUUAGAUGCUAACAAAACAGCUUUGAGGUAAACUUUCUUCCUUCCAGUCAUAUAAAGUAAUGAAUCUAUCUUGAUGCACUUAGAUAAAGAAAUGAACCUAUCUAGUUUAUGUGAAGUUUGACAUCAACAAACUUGUUUCAUCCUUGUUCAAUUUCACUGAGGAUGCCAUAUGAGUAUCUACCUUUUUAUUGCUUCCAUCCCAAAUUUCUUCACAUAUUCCUUUACAUAUUUUUCUUGAAAUAUGAAUGUCCAAGGAAGAAGUUCAGUUCCCCAUCAAACUCAUUUCAAAUUCGCUCUUCAUAAUGCUUGCAAAUUCCUUGUACAUAUCAUGGUUAGUUUAAUGAAAAAUGAUAUCAUAAACAUAAAUUUAAAUAAGCAUAUGAUAUAAUUACCAUUCCUCUUGGUGAAUAAAAUAGUAUCAUCUUUCCUUUUUCAAACUCAUUUUUCUCUAAAAAGGCGCUAAGCAUUUUAUACCAAACUCUUGGUGCUUGCUUUAGUUCGUAAAUUCCUUUCUUUAGUUGAUACACAUGAUUUCCUUUCUAUGAAUCUUCAAAUCCUGAAGGUUGCUCUACAAAGACUUUUCUUCAAUAUGUCCAUUUCGAAAUGCACUUUUCACGUCCAUUUGAUUUAACUUGAAAUCAUGAUAGCAAACAUAAACAAGCAAUAAAUGAAUACCUUCUAACCUUGCUACCGGUGCAUAGGUCUCAUCAUAGUCAAUCUAUUCUUCUUGAGAAUAUCCCUUUUAAACAAGUUUGGCUUUGUUUCCAUAACAUUGCCUUUGUCAUCCAUCUUGUUUCUAAAUACCCAAUUCAUAUUCAUCAUUAUCCAAUUCUCAUCCUUGACGGCCUCAUCAAUUUCUUUUGGCUCAACUUAUGAUAUUAAUGCUAGUGAGUUCACAAGUUCUUUAAAAGAUGAUCUCAUUCUUACACCUUCGUCGGCAUCACUGAUGAUUUGUUCUUUUGGAUGAUUAGUUUUGAACUUUCUGUCUUUAGGAUUCAACCUUGACUUCUGCUUGAAGUUCAAAUUGCUGAUUUUGAGUAAUGUCAAUAAUUUGCAGUGGUGCUGGUCCAUUAUUUCCAUUUUGAAAUCCCAUCAAAUUAUUGUUGAACUUGGCAUUGAUAAAGUUUUUUGCUUUCUAUGAAAUCUUAUUAAAAACUCGGUGCACUUUGCUAGUCAUGUAGUAGCCAAGAAAUAUACCUUGAUUUGAUCUUGAAUCAAAUUUACCAAUAUUGCUGUUUUUUUUUUGGUCGAACCAAUAUUGCCGUUUACAUUCUUCAAUAUGUAACAUUUGCAACCAAAGAUGAGAAUAAGAUUUGCUGGGUUUUCUCCCCUUGAACAACUUAUAGGGUGUAACAUGGUGUUUACAUUCUUCAAUAUGAAAGAUUUGCAACCAAAGAUGAGAAUACAAUAUGUUUGAUUUUCUCCCUUUGAACAAUUCAUAGGGUGUUUUCUCCAACAAGGGUCACAUAAAUACUCUAUUGAUCAUGUAGUAGGAUGUUGCAACUACUUCGGUCAGAAUUAAGCUGGAGUGCCACUUUAAAUGAUCAUUGUUUUGGUCUAUCCUGUCUAUUUUUUUUUCUUUCUUUCCACUACACCAUGUUGUUGCACCAUGUUGCUGGAGAGUGUAUGGAGUUGAAAAUUGUGUUCAAUCCCAUUUUCUUCACUGCAAUCAGCAAAGCUCUUGCUUUCAAAUUCACUGCCAUCAUCAGUCCUAAUACUUGCAAUGCUAUAUUCCUUUCUUGUUCUACGUUGUUUGUGCAAUUUUCACAAAAUAUUUGAAUGCUUUGUCUUUGUGAGAUAGGAACAUUACCAAGGUGAAUCUUGAGUAAUCAUCCACAGUAAUUUGACAGUAUCUACUUCCUUCAAGAUUUGUACUUCUUAUAGGUCCAAAGAGAUUCAUGUAAAGUAGCUACAAUACUCGCUUAGUAGAAAUAGUGUUUAUGGAUUUGAAUGUACUUCUCACUCGCUUACCUAAUGACCAUGCAUUGCAUGUCUCAUUCUUCUCAUACGUCGUCUUUGGAAGACCACAUAGAAUGUCAUUUCCAGCUAGUUUGAAAAUUUACUUCAAACUGAUGUGACCUAGCUUCCAAUGUAGAAGCUCUUGCUUUUCUUUGAUAGAAAGUAAGCAACAGGCAGUAUCACAGUUGAUAUCAAGUAAAUAGUUAUUGCCAUAUCUCUUACCAGUAAAUGCCUGUGAAGGGUUUUUGCCUUUACCAAUGCAUUGGUCAUUCUCAAAGCUGAUUUUAUAUCCUUUUUCACAAAGUUAACUAAUGCUUAUCAAGUUGUGCCUAAGUCCAUCGACUAAUGCUACAUCUUUAAUAAUCCAUUCUCCAAGUUUGAUAUUACUUGUGCCAACUAUCUUUCGUUUGUCUUUUCCUCAAAAGGAAGUAGUUCCACUAUCGAUUUUAGUUAAGGAUAGGAAUUUGUUAGCAUUGCCUAUCAUGUGACGUGAACAUCUGCUAUCUAGAUACUAUUUGCUGGUGGACUUCUUUACUUACAACAGAUAAGAAAUUCAUUUCUUUGGUACUCACGUCAUUUUAAGUUGUGUGUUGUUAGUAGAAGGGAAUUUUCAGUUGAUCCCUUUUGGCUUUCUUCACUCUUUUGGACAUUUAUAUUUGGAAUGGCCAUCUUCAUUGCAAAUGGAACAGUCGUAAAACUUUCCGCCAGAAGGUCUAACGAAAUUUCCAGUAAAAUGAAUCUUAUAGGCAAGAAGAUGUGGUUCUUUUUUAAGCCUUUCUUUUGUUUUUGGAGAAGGAUUCUUUUCUUCUUCAUCUUCUUCACAACCCAAACCAAAUUUGUUGUAGUAAGGAAUUCGAAUGGAAAGAAUGUGCUCAAGUGCUUUUGACCGAAGAGAAAACUUUUUAGUGAUUUUCGUAAUCUCUUAUUUCAGAGAGUAGUUCUCAUCUUAAGAGAGUUGAUGUUCCUUCAUAAGAGCAAUCGAUUUGUCUCUUAAUUUUUCAAGAGCUACUAUUUGAGAAAGGUUUUCAGAAGAAAGUAUUGAAACUUCUUUCUUCAAAUUAGAAGUCCUUUCCACAGCUUUUCUGUGAUUUUAAAAAAUUUCUUUCAAGAAAUUUUGCCUUUCUUCGUAAGUAAGUUCAGGAGAAUCUAUCUCAAUUUCUUUGUCAAUUUCAGUGUCAGCCAUGAGACAAAUGUUGGCUUGAUCACCAUCUUCAUUGCUGCUUACACAAUCCGUAUCACUCUAAGUUUUAACUUUGAGUACACACCUGGCUUUCUUUUCCUUUUCUUCUAGGGAGGAUAAUCGGGUUUUAUAUGUCCAGACUUCCGGCAUUCGUAGCAAACCACUUCUUUUUCUUUGACGUCAUCCUUUAUCUUGAAAGGUUUCUUAUUGUCUGAGUAUCCUGUUUGUCUAUUUGCUUCCUUUUCUCAUCAUUUGCUGGAAUUUUCUAGUGAAGAGUGCCAUGUCUUCAUUAUCAUCAUCAUUGGUUAUGGAGUUAUCACUUGCAUCAGUCGUCCGCAUUUAAUGCAAAUUAAUUUCUUAUCUUUAUCUAUCAGAAUCUGUAUUGAGAUGCUUGGCCUCGAACAUAAGUCUCCACUUGACUCCACUCCUUGGGCAGUGAUCUUAGGAGCUUGUUCACCUUUUUAAGUAUCAGUGAGCGUUCUUCCUUGGUUGGCAAGACCAUUCGUGAUUUCAAUAAACCUAAUAAAUAUUUGGGCUGAUAGUCUUGUCAGAUUUCAUCUUGAAUAUCUCGUAGUUCCCGAGAAGAAUAUUCAUCUUUGUUUCUUGAACACGAUUAGUUCCUUACUAGUAGCCGAUCCCAUAUUUCUUUCGCUAUAAAGAAAGAGAACAGUAAAGCAAAGGCUUUGCUUUAGCAAGAACUAGUCUUCUUUGAAUUUCCUUUAGCUGGUCAGCGGUGGACAAUGGCGGGUUGGUUUUCACCUUCCUAUUGUUGAGAUUAAGUAGGUAGAGUAGUUGGCCUAACUGGAUCAACAAUUCCAUUCUCAGUGACUUCCCACAUCUGUGGGUCAGUGCUUCAAUGUAAUUUUGCAUGCACUGCUUCCAUUAAUCAUGGUUGGUUCUAUCAAAGUAUGGAGGCUUGCUAGGUGCAAGAGAAUCGGGAAGCAAAGAAGCUACCAAGGUUAGCUAUCUAAACAGAUCUUUGUGCUCAAAAGUAAAACGCUUCAAUGACCAAGCAAUUGAGCUUUGAUACCAAUUGUUGGGGCUAAUAAUAUAAUCUAGAAAGGGGGUUAAAUAGGUUGCGUGACGAUAUAAUCGCAAGAAAACCAAACAAUCACUACUCAAGAUAGUGAUAGACAUAAGACAACGUGUGUAAUGCUAGUAAGUAAAUAGAGUCACAAAAUGAUAUAUAGUGGUUUAGCUUUAUAUUUAAGAGUAUGUAUACUUUCCAACUAAUAGCCUUAAUAAUGGUUGAAUUCCACUAGUAAUUAGCGGUGCCAAUUACAACAAGCUAGUAGUGUUUUUUUCACUCGAUUCGUACUAGCAAUAGUCAAUAUAUAUCUCUCUACACAACUUUGUUGCUCUUUAUAUACUAAAGUGUUCAAUCUAUCAGUUGGAGACCUUCCAGGAUGCUAAGCUUGCCGUUUGAGAGUUGAUGAAGACCUUUGAUAGUAUUGAAACUGCUCUUGCAGUCGCUUCCUCUGAUUGUCGCAAGUUUCCUAAAAUGGAGUUUGCUAUGCUAACCUUAAGUAGAAAAAUUGUUAGCUACUUUUCCGAUUUCUUUCCCAAUUUUUCAAAACGGAGUCCAAUCCUACAAUGACUAUAGUCUAUACAAUCAACGGUUAUCUUCUGGUGCAUAUCUCACCAUGAUCAGAGCUAUUGCAUCACCACCACAAUCCAAUGCACACCAUCACCGGUACAAAUAAUGAGUGACCUUGCUAACGAUUUCCAAUGACAAUACCACCAAUUGACAAGUGAUAUAGGAUCAAUGAUCUUGCCACCUUUAGCAACACCAAAGACUUUCAAGAACACUCGUUCGAAUAGUCCUUCCAAACUACCAUGAGAUAACACUUAUAUCCGUACUUGUUCACUUAAAUGUCAUAAUCUAGUGUCUCGUCCUUGCUAAUUCAAGAAGAACGUUGAUAAUAAACACAAACGCUAUCAUUUGCAUUAUUAUUAUAAAUAUAAGUAUCAAAGAUAGUUUUGAAAUCAUCAAAAUUCCAUAAUGAUAUUUUCUCGACAGCAAUAAUGAUAUUUUCUCGCCGCUUCAAAGACCUCCAUUUUCGUGAGGACCGUCGCUCAACCCCCACUUCGAUUACCUCCAUUUUCGCGAAGCUCACCGCUCGACCGCUCGCCGAGCCCACGCGGAUUGGAAACUUGUCCGUCUAACGUUACAGCAGGCUUUCGUUCUUCAGCACUGUCUAUUUGCGGAUGCAAUUUUGUGGGUACAAAUUUUAUGGUUCGUGAUGACUGGUCAGAGCGAUAGACCGAGGUUUUACGGUAUAUUUUGACUUGAAAAAGUGGGAGGAUUUAAGGUGAAGAUCCAGAGGAGAAGCUUUUUAAUCUCUCCUUUAUAAUAAGCCAACUCAUCAGAGAUAACCCCCCCAGAGGAGAAGCUUUUUUUUAAGUUUCUGCCGAGACUUGUCGCUCCGGUUCCCAGAGGUGUUGUCUUUCAAUGGAGAAAGUGCCGAAAAGCCGGCUGGUCCGGUGUCCCAGGUGCAGGCAGCUGUUGCCGGAGCCCGCCGGUCACCCUGUUUAUCGGUGCGGUGGCUGCGGAGCUAUUCUUCAGAGUAAAAGUCAAUCUGUUCUUCGGGGUAAAAGUCAAUCGGAUUCUCUAUUCGUCGACGCCUCCGAUGUGUACCUGAGUUUCAUGGGAGCCGACACUAGCUAUGUAUUCGUCGACUUCCUGUAUCGGAGCUUGGUCGAUGCCGGAAUCCGGGUCUUCCCACCUGGUGAAGGGUUUGGCCAGCAGAUUCCGAGAGCGAUCGAUAGGGCCAAGAUCUGCAUCCCCAUCUUCUCCAAGAAUUACGCUUCCAGCAAGUUGUGUCUCCGGGAGCUUGCGGCAAUGGUGGAGAGCAAGGCGAAAUCGGGCGGUGGGAAAACGAUCAUCCCCAUAUUCUACGACGUGGAACCACGUGAUGUUAGGCUUUUAACCUCUCUGUACCGCGAUGCACUAUCAAUACACAAGGAGAAUUUAGGGUCCGAAAGAGUAGAAGCGUGGGAAUAUGCUCUUGCAGAGGUUGCAUCAUUGCGUGGAUGGGUCAGGGGAUCUGGAAGGUAGAAGGCCCGGACUUUGUUACAGAGGUUUGAAACAUAUAAAUCGUUUUCUAGAAUAGCAAUGCUAAACUCCAAUAGAACAAACUGAUUUCUUCGUUUAUGAUGUUGCGCUUUCGGUAGAAAUAAACUUAGAAAUAAACUUCAAGUAGUUGCUCCGCAAUUCAAUAGGAGUGGUUAUUGCUUUGUCACAUAUAGUAUCAGCCCAAAUGUUAAACUUGCGCCCUUUCUUUUCUAACUGAAAUGGCUUACUUCCGUGGCAGGCCGUCUCACAUAGUCAGAGAAGUCACAGAAAUGGUGGUCAAGCUGAAGGUAAACCAUGUACAUGUGAGUACUCUCUAGCAUAGCUCUCAUUUCCAAUUAUCAGUAGUUGAUCAUGGGAAUCGCUUGGAUAUAUUUCCCUGAUAGAAUGUUCACCUUAUGUAUGAGAUGUAAGACUAUUCCCACUAGUCCUAUAUAUAGGAGAUUCAUGUCAUGUGAAACAAAUCUGGUGAUGGAAGGAAUUAAUCAUGAUUUUUUAAUGGUUUUUGUAUCUCUAGAGAGAUUGGGAUAAUAUUGCAAUGAAGAAAGGGAAAGACUCAAUAGAUGCAACAGAAAAGGGCAGAGACAUGGCCUUGGGUACCAACUACGCUGAUGUGUACUUGAGUUUCAGAGGAGCCGACACUAGCUCUGUAUUUGUUGAAUUCCUUUGCCAUAGCUUGUCUGAUGCUGGAAUCUGCUUCUUCAAAGACAACGAAGAGCUUCCACGCGGUGAAGAAAUUGGUCAGGAGCUGCUGAGAGCAAUCAACAGAGCCAGGAUCUACAUCCCCAUCUUCUCCAGGAGCUAUGCUUACAGUGCGUGGUGUCUCCGGGAGCUUGCCGCAAUGGUGGAGAACAAUGAAAAGUCAGAUGAUGGGAAAACAAUCAUCCCCAUAUUCUACGACGUGGAACGUCGGGAUGUUUGGCUUAUAACCUCUCAGUACGGCAAUGCCCUAUUGCAACAUGAGGAGAUAUAUAUGUUCGAGGAAGUAAGAGCAUGGAGACAUGCUCUCAAAAAGGUUGGUUCAUUACGUGGAUGGGACACAAGAUCUAGCAGGUAAAAGGGCCAGAUGUCAUUACAGGAGGGUUUGCAACUCAUGAUUAUUUUCUAGAAUAGCAAUGCUAAACUUCAAUAGAACAAACUGAUUACUUUGUUUUUGAUGUUGAGCUUUAAGUAGAAAGAAAUUUUAAUUAGUUGAUCUGCAGUGCAAUAGGAGUGUUUAAUGCUUUGUCAGAUAGUAUCAGCCCAAAUGUUAAACUCGCACCCUUUCUCUUCUAACUGAAACGGCUUACUUCUGUUGCAGUACGUCUCACAUAGUCAGAGAAGUCACAGGAAUUGUGGUCAAGCUGAAGGUAAACCAUGUGCAUGUGAAUAAACUCAUAUUUGACUCCCAUUUCUAAUUAUCAGUAGUCGAUAACAGAAACUGCUUGAAUAUAUUUCCUUAGUGGAGUGUUCACUUUAUGGGAUGUAAGACUAUUCACACAAGUCUUAUAUAUAGGAGUAUGCAUGGCAUGGCAAACAACUUUACCUUAGAAGUCGAGUUAUGGAAGUAAUCAGUCAUGAUUUUUGAUGAUUUUUGUAUCUCUAGAGAGAUAGGGAUAACAUUGCAAAUGGAGUAUAAUUAUCUGAAGGUUGAUUACAUUCCCAUUAAUUCUAUAUCCUAACUUGUUGUAUGGUUGAAGUGUUGUAUCAACAUAGGUGGAUCAUUUACUAGGAUUUGACUGGUGGGUUUUCUGUGUUGUUUCUGAAGUGCAGCAAGAAAUAAAAGGAAAAUUAAAUUCAAUUUUUACACUUUUUCAUUUCCUGCAGCAGCUUUCUUGUUUACAGUUUAUUUUCUUGCGUAGAAGUUCCCAAAGAAAGAUGAAGCAAAAGAGGGAAUUGACAAACAAGUUGAGGACAUGAUGGACUUACUUGAUUUAGAAGUCAGUGAUGUACGAAUAGUUGGAAUCUGGGGUAAGGGUGGGGUUGGCAAGACGACUCUUGCCAAGGUCAUUUAUGAGCAAAUUUCCUCUCAGUUCGACAGUUGUAGUUUCCUUGCAGAUAUUGAGACAACAGUGAAACAACUUGGAGGUUUUCAGCUUUUACAAAGCAAGUUGAUGUGUGAUAUCCUAAACAGAGAAUACGAGGUUGAUCAAGUUGCGAAAGGAGUUGAUUUUUUUAAAGGAAUAUUACGGAAUAUGAAAGUUCUAAUCGUUCUUGAUGCUGUGGAGGUACAGUCGCAUCUCCACAAAAUUGUUGGAGAGAAGCUUGAUUGGUUUGGUGAUGGAUCUAGGAUAAUUAUCACCACUAGUGUCAAAUCUGUUCUUCCAGAGUUCAUAUCUCAAGGGUUAGCUCAUGCGUAUGGUAUCGACGUGAUGAAUAAUGAUCAAGCUCUUGAGCUUUUCAGAAAGCAUGCACUGCGGAAAAAUCUUCCAAUUCCAGAUUUUGAUGAAAUUGCAAUAGGUAUAAUCAACUCUGUGAAUGGGAUCCCAUUACUUGUUGAAGUAAUUGGUUCACUCUUGUCCAGAAAAGUAGUAGAAGAAUGGACUGCACUUAAGGAGCUAAUUUUGCAAUCUGGCCCGCAUAUUGAGAUGAUUUUGAUGGCUAGUUAUAAAGAAUUGACCAAAGAGCAAGGAGAGAUACUUCUUGAUAUUGCAUGCCUCCCUGCUGAUGUGGAUUGUCGAAUUGCUUCAUUUAUGUGGCAUGAUCUCAAUAUCGCCCCCUCAGAUGGAGUUGAUGCGCUCCAUGCCAUGUCUCUGGUAAAAAUUGGAAAUGAUAAUGAAUUAGUGAUGCACAGGCUGUUAAGGGAGUUUGGCCAACAAAUCAUACGAAAAGAGGAAGAUCUAUAUCCAGGAACGCGAGGCAGGUUAUGCAAUUUGGAUUUGGCCUGGAGAACAAAGAAGGAGGUAGUGUCUUGUGUAAUUCUAUGGUGGAAUGCGUGCCUUACCCUGUUCUCGAGCCUUGGAGUGUUGAGAAAUUGUUCUUUCUCUUUAAUGUUGACUUAUUUAGCUCUCUCAUUUUUCUCCACUUAAUACUUUUUCCAUUAUAGGGGACAGACCACCUCAACUUUGAUGCAAGAGAUUUUAAGAGCAUGCCAAACAUAAGGUUUCUUAUCUUGGAUUGUGCAAAAGUUGUUGGUGAUUUUGCCAAUGUUUUUCCAAAUUUAAAGUGGCUCCAAUGGCGAGGAUGCACUAGAGAUUUUGCAGCUACUAAUUUUCAUGUGGAGAAAUUAGUCAUUCUUGAUCUUUCAUGGAGCAAAGUCACUGAAGACUGGGGAGGUUGGAGAAAAAUCAAGGUAGAUUAAGCUUGUUUAUUUCAUUAAACUGUUCCCCUGAUGAAUAAGUUUUCACCAGUCAUGAAGGCUGAUUUAAGACAUAACAUUUUUUGGCAUAUGGCAUGUACAGAACUGAAUGUUACCCUUGAAAUACUUAAAGAAAUAAUCGGUUGCCUGCCAACAACAUAAGAGGGUGUGUGGAUGAUGGUGGUGGUGGAAUCUUAGAUUGAGUGAAUUAAGGGGAAUGAUUUUCUGGUUGUCAAGAUGGUAAGUCAUUCUUCAGAAUCUAAAUAAGCAUCUUCUUUGACUAUGAAAACAUUUUCCAUCCGAAAUCUUUCUAAAUUAUGCUAGGAUUAUAAGAUUGGAAAACAUAUUUUCAAAAUUUGUUUUUUUUUCAAAACAAACAGAACCUUGACUUUAUUUCCUUCUAAAGAUUUGUUCAGUGUAAGAAUUAAUCUUUCUGUGCUAUUUUUGCAGAUGCCACAGUUGAAAGUCUUGAAUUUUACUGGUUGUGCUGACCUAUUGAUAAGCCCUGACCUGUCCUCGUUCCCAGACUUAGAGAUAUUGAUUUUCGAACGAUGUUCUCGACUAAUGAAGUUAGAUCCUUCCAUCCGUCAUUUAAAACGCUUGACUACCUUAAAUUUGAGGUUCUGUGAUGAACUCAAUAUGUUGCCAAUUGAACUGGGUCACAUGGAAGCUCUUAAGGAGCUCCUUAUUGACAACACUUCCAUACAAGAAAUUCCUGUCUCAAUGGGUUACUUGGAGAAACUUGAGAUUUUUAGUGCCUCCAAAUGUCUCCAAUUAAGUCACCUGCCUGAUUCAGUCUGUGGCUUGACAUCUCUUUCAGUUCUCUCACUGGAAAAUGCAAAAAUUACUCAAAUUUCUGCCUCAUUCGAAAAGCUGGUGAAACUUCGGAUCCUGUCUCUAAAGGGUUGUCGUUGGGUAGGGAGACUUCCAGAUUCAAUUUGCAAUUUGGGAAACUCAUUAGAGGAGUUGGAUAUAACAGGGACAGGCAUUUCUGAAUUGCCCAAUUCAAUUACUUGCUUGGGGCAUUUAAAAGUGUUAAAAAUGGAUUCUUGCUUCAUUAGAGAAUUGCCUAGAGAAAUUGGAAAUUUGGUCAACCUUGAAGAGUUACAUGCUUCUCAUUGUAGGAGUUUGAAGGGAGCCAUUCCAACUGCUAUUAAGAGUCUAGAUCGUCUGAGGAUACUGAGAUUGGGACAUUCCAGUAUUUCUGCCAUUCCUUUGGAAAUUGGAAGUCUUUCUUGUCUUCAGACUCUUGAUUUACUUUGGUGCAACGAGAUUCAAGUGCUGCCAGAGCUUCCCUCCAGAUUAACUUGUCUACAUGUGAGUUCUAAAAGGAUGGAGGCCUUGCCAGAUCUUAAGGAUUUAGUGGAGUUGGAGAAGAUACGUCUGGGUGAUAAAGAUCCUAAGGAGCUCAUAUGUCCCUCAACACGGAUGGAGCCAAAAUCCAGAUCAAGUGAUCUCUUAGUUGCGCACAUAGUACUUCCGAAACUGAAGAUGUUAGAGUUGUCUCAUUCUCGAGUCAGUGAACUGCAACUUGGGCAUGGUUCACUCUCAUGUUCACAUCUUAAGAAGCUAGUUCUAUCUGGCGUGAAUCUUGAGAAUGUGCUGGACCUUCCCUCAUCAUUGUCCGUUUUAUCUAUUCAAUGUUGUUCUUCCUUGAGACAAUUGCCAGCAGUUCACCAUCUGAGCAAACUAUCAGAACUACAUCUCAUCCAAUCUGCAGUAGAAGAGAUUAAGGGACUUCAAGGACUAAUUUCUCUGGAAAUCUUGAAUAUUUCGCACUGUGAAAUAUGUAAUCUCAAUGGGCUUGGCCAAUUAACAGAUUUACGAAGUUUGAUUUUGUCAGACUGUAAUUCACUUGGUGGAUUGCCCGAUAUAUCAAACUUGAAGAUGUUGAACGUCCUAGUAGUCCAAAGAUGCAGCAUGUUAGUGAAUGCAAGGGAGAAAGCACAGAGCAAGUUCAGGAUGCAUUAAAGCUCGCAAUGGAAUGUUCAAUAAACAGUUGAUGUCCUGUGCUCCUGGAGUGGACAUUUAGUUAUUCACAUGCCUCUUCGGACACAAUCAAAACCGUAUGGCUAUGGGUGGCAACAUCAUUGAAAUCCACUGUGAAAUUGAGUUUGCAAACUGGCACAAUUUGAAAUUUGGCACCAAAAGUUUUUUGAGUCCUUCAUCUAUCAAAAGUGGAACCAAGUGCCAUAAAUAAGCACCCUUGCACAACUCACUGGUCAUCAGAUCCUUCAUAUUCCUCUCUCCCUCACCAAUCCAUCUUUCUGUAGUCUCUCUUAUUCAACUGCCAACUUAGUCGUUUCCUGUAAAUUUGGAAUGAUCUAACUCCAUAGAUAUCUGGAAAAUCUCAAGGAAUUUUCUUGUCCCAAAAGCAUAUACAAUUCUUAGACGAUGUGCAUAAGCACAAUUAAGGGACACAUUUGGUAGCUGUCACAUGUGAAAGAACCAAACCAUACGGCUGGUUGUCUGGCAUUGCAUGCAGGAGAUGUAGAUACAUAUAUUGCAUUUAGUGCAAGACAUGCUUGGGCGAGGUAAUGAUACCAGACGAUUUUCUUCUGAGAUUUAUCAUCAUAAACAGUGCCUAUAGCACCCAAAUCUACAAUUCAUUUGACUGUAAAAUGUGCACCUCUUUUGCUCAAGCUCAGCGGGUAGGUAAGAAAUGCACCUAUUUUCCAAUGAUCUUUUACUCAUCACCCGUGGAGAAAGACUUAUGAGCCUUGUAUAUUUCAUGCAGUCUCUUCUUCAUGGAAUGAUGUUGUUUCUCUUGUUCAGAUUAGUCUGAGAGGCAACACUAGACAGAUUCUAGUCUUUAAACUGGCCCAGAAUGCAUCAGUUUAUUACAGUUGGAGAACUCCAAAUUAUUAGUUCCGUUGUCCUGGGACUCACAUUUGUAUUGAGAACAUUUCAAUUGUUUUCUUGCUGAUGUAAUGUGUACGACACACCCUGGAUGACAUGGAUGCUCCUCUACUAAAAUGAAAGCAUCCUCACGAUAAACUGCCAAGAGUGACAUUUAUAGUAAAACACUGAUGGCAGAGAGGACGAGCCGGUUAGAAAGAAUUUAGUAAUGAUUGUAAGUGGUUAUUGAUUUUGGCAUCUUACUUAAUCUUGGUUUAAGAUCACAAAUAGAUUGUCUUAGGUAAAUUUUGUUCAGCAUGAGCUUUUUGCAUGGGUAUGGGACAUCGGUGCCCUAUCCUGUUGAUCCUAGGUCAGCUUCUCACCUUUAACCUAAUAUGGCUUAUUCCAAUCCAAUCAUUUCUGAGUGCCCGCUGUUUUUAGCAGAAUCUUUUGUCAUUUGAUUCCGUGAGUAAAUGUGAAUGGAGAGCAGGGAAUUCUAAUGUCCAGGUUCAGAGCGGGAAGCGUGCGUUGAGCCUGUGAGGGAAAGGUGUUCUAUGAAAGGAAGAGCUUGCCGGGUUUAAGUUUGGCUUGUGGCUGCGGGGAAUUCAAAACGGAUGAAAUCUGAAUGAAUUUGUGACUGGAAGAUCUCAUUGAUUUGUACUGGGCGGACAAGAAUAAACAUGUCAUCAGCAGCAGCUUCUCGUCUGUUAUCAGGGAAGAACUUUCGGCAUUUUGUAGCAGCCCAGGAGCACAUACUGGAACUGUUGUUUUAGGUCAAUGGUUUAUUGAGUCGUAAAAUUUUCAAAAAGUACAAUCAAAUUUUAAAAUUUGUCCAGUCGCUGUAAUUGAGCCCUUUCGAUAACUCCAUCCAAUUCGGCUAAUGAAAAAUGUUAAUGUGACUUUUUAAAAUAAUUUAUCUCUCUUACGUGCUGAUGACUCUUGCUAAAAGGAUUUUUUAAUAUGAUUUUUAUUUAAAUUAAAUGAAAAAUAAGCUAAAAUUUAAGAAGAAGAAGAAGAAAAAGAAGAUGACAACGUAGGUGGUGAGGUUGUUGCCGUUGCCCCACUAUUGCUGGGAAGGGCCAACGAUGGUGGGAGCUAUAGUGGAGAACGGUCAGCAAGGGUGGGCACUAGCUAGGAGCUUGCAAGCCCUUGCCUAAUAUGGGGAGGCUUGUAGGUCCUUGUCUAUGAUUGGUGAGAGUUGCCAGUCCUUUGCACAUGACAACGUUUCUGUUCUCGAGAAGAGUUUUUUUUUCAGAAAAUAGUUUAAUUCUAUUCUGCUUCGGGGAACAAUUUCUGAGUAAAAUAACCCGUUUGGUAACGACAUAAAAUUUCUACUCUUGGAAUAGAAAAAUAAUAUAAAUGCGUUUGGUAACGCAAUAAUUUUUUUUUUGUAUUUAUUCAUUUUUUAUUCGUAUUGACGGAUUGUUGCCGCGGCCGGUGAUCGGCGGUCAUGCAGUGGCGGCCGCUGGCGGGCGGGCAGCGGCGGAGGGUGGGUGGCGGGCGGCGGUCGUGCAGUGGCGGUGGCUAGCGGGCGAGCAGCGGCGGAGGGCGGUCAGCGGCCGCGGUGACGACCGGCGGUCGUGCAGUGGCGACGGCUGGUGGGUAGCGGGCGGCGACGGCCGGCGGCACUGGCGGCAUCGAUUGGCGACCGGCGGCCGGUGGCGGCGGCGGUAGGCGGUGGCUCCGGGCGGUUGACGGUGGUCGCAGCAACAAAAGGAAAUAAAAGAAAAAUAAAAAAGAAAAUCGGCUUAUUUCUAGAAAUUGUUCCCGGGAACAAGAAGCAACUUUUUUUGCUUCUCAAAAUUGUUCCCGAGAACAAAAAAUUAAAGAAAUUGUUCCUGGGAACAAAUGUUUUACCAAACAGAUUUUUGUUCUUUUUUUUGUUCCGGGGAACAAAAGAAUAGAAAUUGGGAGAAAUAAUAGCGUUACCAUGCGCUACCUUAGAUUAAUGGUGGGGCAACAGUGAUGGUGAGGGCAGCCUUGCCGCCUGUUUUUUUUUUUUUUUUCCUUCUUUUAAGUUUUAGAUUUUUUUAAAAAUAUAAUUUAGGUUUAAUCUGAAGAAAAACCUCAAACUGGUAUAUUUAUGAGAAAUUUACCCAAAUUAAUUUUUUGAUCACUAAAAACUCUAAAUUAGUACGCUUAUGAUAAAUUUAUCACAAGCUAAUUUUUUGACUAACAAAAACCUCAAAUUGAUAUAUUUGUGAUAAAUUUACUCCCAGUUAGUUUACGUUAAAUUAUAUUAAUGCCACGAAAAAUCACAAAUUAUUAUAUUUGUGACAAACAGAAAAUAAAUCCCCAAAUCAUUACACUCAUCAAUUGCCAUAUGUCAUCUAUCUCAACAAUUUAACGGUAAAAUUUAACAAAAAUUAAUAGAGGGUAAUUUUAUUACAAGUGUAUCAAUUAGGAUUUUUUGUGGUAAAAAAAAUUAACUUGAUGUAAAUUUAUUACAACUGCACCAAUUUGGAGUAUUUCUUAGUAUUAACCCUUUAAUUUAAAUAAAAUUAUUUUAAAAAUCAAAUUUGGACCAAAAUGGUCCUGUUUUAACCACGUCAUUACAUGUAGAAGAGAGAAAAUAUUAAAAAAAAACCACGUCAGUAUUUUCCGUUAAUUAAAUUGGACAAAGUGAAGAAUUGAAUUGUACCGAUAUGAUACAUUUUAGGAUUUAAUUGUAUUUUUUGUAAUGUAGGACUCAAUUAUAUUUUCAUGACAAGUUUUAUGACUUCUAUUGGAUAAAUCCCGUUUAUGUAAUAUCGUAUAGCGAUGGAACUUGGUCGGGUAGGUUUUCACUGGCUAGUGGGCGGAGAGAGAGAGUCGCAUAAAGGCUAAUUUAAUAAGAAAUUUGGUUCUUGAAGUUCCUGCCAAGCCUUUGAAAUUAUCGUAGAAAAACAUAAAUCUUGGAUAUCUUUGACAAAUAUGGUAUUAGUUUGUUUGCCAUUUCAAAACCCAUACUGAUGCGGAGAGUUUCAUAUCAUAAGGGCUUGUUUGGUUAUCAGGAGUUAAACUUGCCGAGUGAAAUCUGGAUCAUGAUUCUCUUUAUUGCCAAUGUUUGGUAAAUUAGAAUGAGACUGAAAUUGCCAAAAGAGAUUUAAGGUUUAAUAGACAUUUUUAAUAUUUAAAUGCCUACUUUAUCACGUAGGGAUUCAUGUAUAAUUUGAGCAAAUUAUUUUGAUCACUUGCGAUAAAAGCUGUGAAAUGCUUUGCCUUUUGAAUAGGGAUGUAUAUCAUAGCUUGACUUAGAUUUCUCCCAAGUCAUCUUGGCUGCCUACCACACAAGCUGGGAAAUGCUUUACCGUUAUGACAGGAUGUCCAUUACAGAAAAUAACUGGCAAGACCACCUUGACUAAAUUAAUGUUUCUUUAAUCCAAAAGCAAGCAAUAUGAGCAUGAUGAAAAAGAGAGUCGAUCAAGUCACUCAAUUUCUCUUUUCAUCUCGGUCUAAUUUUGGAUAAGAUUUUGCCUCUCUAUAUUGACAAAACGCUUGACUAAUUAAUAUUUUUCUCAUAAAACAUUCAGCCAAUACAUCAAAAAUUUGGUCAAGCAAGGGCAGCUAGACCAUUAUCCUUACGCAGAUUUGAAAAAUGGAUUAGAAUUUUCCUAAAAUCAAGAGCAAAUUUAUUUAAUAAUGUUAAUCACCAGACCAAAACGCUCCGGUCAUUUGAGAAAUUUCGUUCAAAAUAUCAUAAAUGAACUUAACGUAUAUAAUUAAAUUUCCAUAAUUUAGUAAUUCAUCUAUUAAUAGUUGCUGAAUUGGAAGUUUCUUUCCUUCCAUUUUUAUUUUUGAACUGAGUUGAUGUUGAUGGAAGUUCUUUUACCUUAUAAUUCUUAUUUUUGUAAAUUUACAUCUAAUUUCCUUCAAGGUCUAUAUUUGUUGAUAAAUACCAUUCACAAAUUGUAUUUAAUCAUCUUAGAGACAGCGGUUGAUGUCAAUGACUUUCUAAUGUGAAGAAUCUGCAACUCCCACGUAUCUCUAUGUUAACACACUAUCAACCCCUUCACUCCUCUCAGCUUCCUUUGUAUUUGUGCAAAUCUUUGACACUAAGCUUCCAAACUUGACAUCUUUCAUUAUAUUAUUCCUAAUCAAUUUUUUCUUAUCUGUUCCCAAAUCCCAGAUGGCAGUUUCUGGACCAGUGAGCAUUAGAUUGGUCCUAUGUGGAAAUUUGCUUUCAUAGCCUAUCAAAUUCCAUUUUCUAAUAAAAGCAUAUAGCAAGAUAUAGGAUGAUUAAACAAUAUUUUAUCCACAUGACCGUUUCAAAGCAUCGCAUUAAUCGAGUGAAUACAGUUACUAAAUUUGAAAUAUAUUUUAUAACGUGCUUUCAUUGACUCUGAUUAGCCUUCAUUCUCAUUUGCGUAUCAUUGUAUCUCCUUUAUGUUUCAUUACAUUAAACUAUAAUUGCUACUUCACUUAUUUCUACUAAUGCCAUCUCGAGUCCCUUAGGCUUGUAGCCUGAACAAGCUUGAAAUGAAAAUCACUUAAAUACGCUCAGGGACUGGCCCCAUCUAACUCAUGCUUGAGAAAUGCGGGGCCAAUUCGGAUUUUCGAGCCCUGGAUGUCUCCUGAAUUAUGUUAACUUUUAACAUUUUUUAUUUCUCGUCUUUAGCGUCCAUAGUGCUGGAGAGGUGGAAUUUUUUUGUUCUGUUAUUUUUUUCAUUUUUGAUCUUUGAUGUUGAAUGGGCUAGCAUCCGUAAAAGUUGUCCAACAUUCUCUUUCUUGCCAAUGUCUGGUAAAUUAGAACGAGGCACCAUUUGUUGCGGAAAAUAUGAUAUUUCUGAAAGUUAUUUUUGAAGAAUGGUUUCCUGAAAAGUAAAUUAUAUUUUUCGUUGUUCGGUUAAAAUUUAAAGAUAAACUAGAAAAUAUUUUCCACCGUUUGGUAAGAAAAAUAUUUUCCUGCAUGCACUUUUAUUUCAAUAAUUUUUUAUAAUUUUAAUUUUUUAAUAUAUUUCCUUUUCUUUUUCUUUUUUUUUUCUUUCUUUCUUUCCUUCUAUUCUUCUUGUUUGGCCUUGGCCGAUCGCCAAUCAUGGCAGCAGGUGGCAAUUAGCCAAGGUUGAAAAAGAAGAGAAGGAAAGAAAGAAAAUAAAAAAAUAAAAUAAAAUAAAAAGAAAACAUAAAAAUGAAAUGAAAAUAUGUUUGGUGAAAGAAAGAAAGGUGGAAGAAGUUAUGGAAAAUGUUUUUUACUUUUGAAAAGCGAAAAAUAUUUUCCCCACUUUUGAAGGUGUUUUUUUUCAAUAACAAAAAAUGUUUUUCUUGAUUAGUUGAUUUUCUAUGAAACAAACAUUGGAAAAUUUAGAAAACGUUUUCUUGGAAGUUAUUCCAUAAAAUGAACAAAAUCUGUAUGCAAACAAAACUUGAGAAAAAAAAAAUUGUUGCAUUAUUGCAUUUUCAUUACUAUGGAGGAAGGUCGUGGAGGAAGGUAGGAAUAAGUAAGAACAAGAACAAAGUACAAGUUUUUAAAAAAAAAAAAAACAAGUGGAUAAUGGAUCAUUAGCUAAGUCAUUGGUCCCGUAACUUUUAAAUGAACAAAUGUAAAUUGGUAAGCACACUUAGCUCAUUUGCUUAUAUUUUUAGAAAUUUGAAACGAUCAAAUUCAAAUCAAUCCAGAAUCAAAUAGAACAUGGUUGACACCAUUUCCACGGCUUGAAUGUCUAAAUACACAGCAUUUAAUGGUAAUCAGACGAAAUACCCAUAGAAACCACCGCCUUUUUUCUUGUUCAUCAAGCGGUGGAUGGCCACACUCAGCCCUCCGUACCUCCUCCUCCUCUGGCAUCUAAUAGGGGUGAGUAUGGUUUCAUGAUAAAACUUAAAAUUGAAGAAUCAGACUAGUAGAAAUCUAUCAAGUUUCAAGUUCUAAGAUAUGUAUGAUAGGUUUUAGCAGAUAAGUUUCAGAUUCUACAUGAGUGAAACUUGGAGAAUCUAAAAUAAGUUUUUGUGUUUUUCUUUAUCUAUGUUUUUACGCGGUUCCGCAGUAUUUUAUGGCGUCUGAUGAUAAUUGUAUAAUCAAGAACCGCUAGUUUAAGCUUCUAUUAUGAUUAAAACUUUUACCUUGUUGAUAUUUAAUAUUUUUCAUAUGUCUAAAUAUAAGUUGUAGUUAGUGGAUUAUAACAACAACCAGUGGUUUCCUACAAAAAAAAAAACAACAACAACAACUGGUGAUUAUUAAAUGUGAUGAUUCACUAUAAUCAUUUAAUUAAUAAUAUAGAUAGAAUCUGGAUAUGCAACGUAGGUUCUAUAUUCCAAAAAAAUGAUAAACAUGUUCUAAUGGGUAGAUUUUACGUGGAGCUUGUACGGAGUCUGGAACUGCUCCUCACUAGAAUUUAACGAGCAGAAUUUAUAUGUGCAUCUUCCAGAACUACUCUAUUGUGUCUCUUCUGACUCUCUUUCCACUAAUCUGAAAUAUCCUUCUUUGCUCAACCUUCGCCUACUCUUUGCUCAAUCCAAGAAUGUCGGCUUUGAACACAUUUAUAGUUAGAGUCUCCUCCCAAUCGACAAAAGCUUUGUAUGAGUGACAACACCACGAAGUCACUUUUGACUCGAGAUGGCAAAGUGCGUCUAAAACCCAUAUUUGAUGAUGCAAGUCAUAAAUUGAGUGUCUUGAGUUUUAAAAAUCAUGUUUAAAUAGAUCAUAAAUGGGUUGUUUAAUUAUCUAAAUGAGUCAUAAAUAAAUUGAUGGCUAGCUCAUUUCUAACCUAUAUGAAAAAAAGAGAACAAACUAUUUUUAAUUCAUAUCAAGUGGAGUUGGAGGCAUCAAGCCAAUUUUUAUAAUUUUAUAAUUUUUUGAAUUUUUUAAUAAUUUUUUAUUUUUAUUUUUUAUCUUUCCUUUUUCUUUCUAUCUUUUUUUCCCUUAUAAGUCUGGCGAGGGUUGAUCGACCAUCACCAACCAUAGGCAAGGGUUGACAACCCUUGCCGGCCUUAAAAAGAAAAAUGAAGAAAAUGAUAAAAAUUGUCAACUAAAUUUAUAUUGCAUGAAAAUUUUUUAGCAAUAUAUUUAAAAAAAAAUCAUCAAAAACAAGUUUUCAUGAAUUUGAUUAUAUAUGGAAGGAUUUUGACAAUAUGAAUAGAGUAGAUGGUUAGGGUAUGAGUCAAGAAAUUUGUAUUAUAAUAAAUGAGUCUAUUUAGAUUGAAUCAUUUAUGACCCCGAUCCGACUCUGCCAUUUGACAUGUAUACUUUUGGCUCCCGAGUCUGUCUUUGAGAUUGACUUCACCCAUUUGAUCUCCCCGAGAUGGUGUGAUGUUGUACCAUGUUUGAAAUGAAUAUAUAUAAUUUAUAGAAACUUUGGUCUACUGAUAAUAAGAAAAAUUGUGAACUGCGGUACUAUAUUAAAUAGAAAAUAUUUUUUAAGCACAAAUGAGUUAAAAUUAAAUUGUAAAACAAUAAAGAGAGAUGAUGGGACACCUAAAUCCCUGGAUUGUCAAAAGUUGACACAAAUGAGCACUUAAGUGUCAAAAGUUACGAAAGUGAUACUUAAGUGCAAAAAUUGAAGUAAAAUGGAUUACUUAAGUGCUCUGGGCGAGAAAAUCUAGCCGAAACACUGAUGUGGCAAUUUUCUGGCGAGCUACGCGCAAAACGACGUCUUUUUGUAUGUUGAUGUGGCUAAAUAGUGUCAAAACGACGUCGUUUUUGGUAUAAUUCAAAUUUUAAUAUAAUAAUUAAUUAAAAUUAAAAUUAAAAAAUAAUUAAUUAAUUAAUUUAAAAAGAGGGGAGGGGGGAGGGGGGAGGAGGGGGGGGGGGAGAGGAGGAGGAAGGAGGCAAUUGACGGCUUAGGGUUGAGUCCUCAUCGCCGUCGCCCACCAUCUCACCUCCGUUGCUAGGGAGGUGGGGGGAGGUUAGCUGGGGCUACCGAGCCUGGGCCGAGAGCCGGCGGCCCCAGCCGAUCAGUGGCGAGGGCCUGCGUGCUCCCACCCUAGAGCUGCAAUGGCCCCCCAACAGGGGGCGGCCAUUAGGUCGGCCGAGUAAGGCUCAGUGACCCUUGCCCAGAUCUAGGGCGAGGGCACGCAGGCCCUUGCCACCGGUUGGCUAGGGCCAUCGGCCCUCGGCCAGGGCUUGGCAACCCCAGCCGACCAUCCUCUACCUUUUGGCGAUGGUGGGGUGGUGGCGGUGAUGAGGGCUCAGCCCUCAGCCGUCUGCUCCCUCCCUCCUCCUCCUCCUCUUCCUCCAUUUUUAAAAAGUAAAUAUAAGUUGUUGUUGUUGUUGUUAUUAUUAUUAUUAUUAUUAUUAUUAUUAAUUUAAUUAAUUUUUAUAUUAUAUUAAAAUUAAAGCGACGUUGUUUUGGUUGAUUUAAGGGCUCUAUUUUGGCUAACUAUAAAAACGACGACGUUUUGGGAGAAUUAGAGUUGAGUUAGCUCUUCGGUGGCCACGUAGGCAAGUAAUAUUAAUAUUUAAUUGUCACGUAUGAUUUUUGGCUGGUUUUGCCAGAGGUGGCAUUCAAGUGUCAUACAUUUUUAUGAAAGUGGCAUUUAAGUAUCAUUUUCGUAACUUUUGGCACCUAAGUGUCUUAUUGUGUCAAUUUUUAGCACUUGAAGCGAUUUUUUGCCGAGAUAACGGUAUCGAUUAUGUGUAUCCGUAAGGACUAGUCCAACCUCAAUAUUCAAAUAUCCCGUUUUAUUCAAAAAAAAAGAAAGAGAAAUGAGGGGUAAAAAAUUAAUGCAUCUAUGUCUAGCGAUGUUAGGACAAAUAAAAAAUUAACACGUGCCACAAAAAGUUGCGGCCCUUUUUCCCACACCUGUUAAUGAAAUUUUGAUAAUAAUACUAAAAUAUUAUCUUUUUUGGUUGCCACAAAAAGUUGCGUUGACUUAUGCAUUCUCAAGUCUUGCAUCUUCCACCGGCAUUCACUUUUAAUCAAUCUUUUAUCUGAUAUCCUAAGGUCCAGCUCCGGGAGGAAAGAUCUCUUCGUGUAGCAUCGAUAGCGAGCGAGAGAGGGAGGUGAUGGCCCCCAACUCGUUUCUGUCGCCUCCUUUGUGUUGCCUGUAUUAUAGACGCAAGAGGAGAAAUCCGGUUAGUUCCGCUUUCUUGUUCAUUUCUUUUGUGGGUUAUGUCUGCGUGAGGAUGAGGACUGUUGAUUUCAGCUGGUGUAUGCUCAGAUCUGCAUCUUCGGCGCAAAUAUUUCUUUGGACAACACAAGAACAUUUUUUUUUAAUCUUAAUUUGAUCUUCAAAUCGGCUUAGAUCUCAUAUCCUUUUAAGAACAUCAUCAAUGAGCCUAGAUCGGAUGGGGUCAACUCAUUUUCUUUCCUUUCGUUUCCGUUUUCAUUUUUUCUUUCCUUUCUAAAGCAGCUCGAUUGUCUCAGAUCAGAACAUCCUAGUCAAGGCCUUAUGCCUCCACUUUUUGCUUCGCUGCUUUGCGGGAAUUAUAUUAAUCGGAGUGGCAACUUUGUGAUAGAGUUCGCCUUUUUCAUUUUACAGAGGCCGCCGCCUCCUCCACUGCCGCCUCCCCUGCCUCCCCCUCAGUUGCCACCACCGCCGCCUCCUCCACCACCACCACCCCUGCCUCUGCCUCAGUCGCUGCCACCGCCACCUUCUCCUCCACCGCUGCCCCUGCCUCCACCUUGGUCGCCGCCGCUGCCGCCUCCAUCAUCAUUGCAGUCCUCGCCGUCUUUAUCAUCCAUCUCUACCUCAUCAAGAACCAAUUAUGAAGUGUUCUUGAGUUUUAGAGGUCCCGAUACUCGCAAUGGAUUUGCAGAUUACCUCUACACCAGCCUGAUUAAUGCAAGGAUCAGGGUCUUUAGAGACAAUAAUGAUCUUGAUCCUGGAGAAAAUAUCCCUGAUGCAUUGGUUCAAUCCAUAAACCAAUCCAAGAUAUCAAUACCCAUUAUCUCCAAGGAUUAUGCAUCCAGUAGGAGUUGUCUCAUGGAAUUGGCACAAAUGGUGGUAUGCAAAGAAGCAGAGGCUCAACUGAUCGUGCCCAUUUUCUAUGAUAUCGACCCCGCUGAUUUAAAAUACCAACGUGGAUGUGUUGAGGAAUCCUUCAGUAAGCACGAGCGCCGUAGAAUUGACCGCAAGGAAAUUUAUAAAUGGAAGCAGGCUCUCGGAAAGAUUACUGAGAUGAUGGGAUAUGAUCUGCGGAAGACAAACGAGGGGUAAUCAACUUUUUACUGUCCUUUUAAUGAUAUUAGCUUUAGCUAUAUGAGAAUUUUGCCAAGCACUAUGUUUUUGAAAUUUUUAACUGGAUGGGGCUAGAUUUGAUAAUGAGGCAAAUGUACUUUCCGUGCCCUUCUUGUUGCCCACUGCAUCGUCCUUAAUUGGUCAAUUUAGUACGGUUUAACUGGAUUAUUUCCUUUCGACCAAAAAAAAAAAAAAACUGGAUAAUUUCCUUCGUAAUUUUCAUGGACUGUUGUUAAUUAUGUUGUAAUCUCAUCACGAUUCCUUAUUUUCAUCUUCACAUUUGGCAGUCAUGGUGCAAUCAUAGAGACAGUUGUUUCAUAUAUUCUAGAGUGGCUGAAGAAGAAUGAUUUAGAUGUGAUUGACGGUUUGGUGGGCAUGGAACCCCACGUACGGGAGGUUAUGAAAAAGCUUGGUGUCAUCUAUGUCAAUGAGCAGGCAACCGGAGUACAUGACAAAGAUGUACGCAUACUUGGAAUAUGGGGCAUGCCAGGGAUUGGCAAGACUACCCUUGCAAAGGUUGUGUACAACAAAAUUCAUCGUCUCUUUGAACGCUGUAGUUUUCUUUCCAAUAUUCGAGAAAAUGGUGCAUCCGAUGGACUCAUCAUGGGCCUACAAGAACAGUUAAUCUCAGACCUCCGAAGGAAAGAACGUAGAAGGCUAGGAACUCUUGAUCAAAUGACUAAUGUCAUAGAAAGUUCAUUUAGCAAAAUGAAAGUUCUCAUUCUUCUUGAUGAUGUGCAUGCUUUUGAACAAAUCAAGCAUUUAGUUAGGAAACUCAGUUGGUUUGGCCCGGGAAGCAGGAUUCUCAUGACAGUUGGAAAAAUCGAUGUUCUUGAUGGUUAUGGAGAUGGAGUGGCUGAUAAGUAUGAGGUUGAAGAAAUGGGGCCUUGUCAAGCUCUUCAACUUUUCCGCAAGCAUGCUUUUAGUGGGUGUACUUGUGAAGAGGAGGAUGAGUAUGAUUCUCUAUCCAGAGAUAUUGUUAAUACUAUUGGAGGGCUUCCUUUGGCAAUAGAAGUAACAGCUUUUUUCUUGCAUAAGAAUAAGGGGAAAAGACAAACAUGGAAAGAUACAUUGGAUAGCUUAAAAAGGAAGCCGGGGAAUAAAGUCCAACAAGUGAUCCAGUUAAGCUAUGACUCCUUGCAUGAAGAGACAAAAGAGAUAUUUCUCGACAUAGCAUGUUUUUUCAUUGGAACAGAUGAGAGAAUUCCCUUAUACAUGUGGCGUGCAUGUAAAUAUGAUCCAAGAGGAGUCAAAUUUCUCCAUGACCUAGGUUUGGUCAAAAUUAGAGAAAACAAUGAAAUAUGGAUGCAUAAUCAACUAAGGGAAUUUGGCCGGGAAACUGUUAGAAUGCAAGAUCCCCACGAGCCUCGAAACCGAAGUAGGUUAUGGAAUCACAUUGAUGCACUUUCCAUGCUUAAUGGAAAGCAGGUAUACUUUUUAAGAUCUUAAACACAGUCAACAAUCUUUGAAGAUACUUCCUUUCCUGAUUUUUCUUUCCCAAAAUGAAGUGUGAAUGGCUAUAUUUCAUUUCCCUUUCUACUUAUUUAGUUCCUUCGAUUUGCAGAGUCCUAGCAAGGUGGAAGCCCUUGGUCUCACAUUUGAUGAGGGACAAAGUGAAAGUUUAAGAUGUGAAAGAUUUAACCAUCUAGGGCGCUUGAGGUUCUUGAGAUUGGACCGGGCUAUUGUUGGAGGGAGUUCUCACGAUGUAUCUGGCUACCUAGGGCACUUGAGGUUUUGGAGAUUGGACAAGGAUUCUGUUGGAGGGAGUUCUCAGAAUGUUCUUUCAAAUUUAAGGUGGCUUGAUUGGCAAGGGUGCAGUCAGAUCUCUGAACUACUUAUUUUUCAUUUGGAGAAACUGGUCAUUCUUGAUCUAUCUCGCAGUUUGGUCAUUGGAGAUUCACAAGUAUGGGGACAAGUCUUGAAGGUAAAGUGCAAUUUUGUCUAUGUAUCUUGGGAUUAUUAGAAUAGCUAGCACCAACUGAACCUUUUCUGUCCUCUUUUCUUGCAGAAGGCAAAGGAAUUGAAGGUUUUGAACCUAAGUAGUUGUAGUAACCUGAAUGCUUUUCCAGACUUCCAUGCUUUGAUGUACUUAGAGAUAUUGGUCCUGGAACAUUGUUCCGCACUAUCCCAAAUUGAUCCAUUGAUAGGUAAUCUGAAGAACUUAGUCUCCUUAAAUCUUAAAUUCUGCAAAUCCGUCAGCAGAUUGCCGCAAGAACUAUGUGAUAUGAAAGAUUUAGAAGAACUUCUGAUAGAUGGAACUGCCAUUAAGAAUAUUGAUUUCAAGCCAGCCUCCAUGGAGAAACUUAAGAUUCUGAGCGCUUGCCAGUGCAAAAAAUUGGCUCAUAUAUCAGACUCUAUUGGUCACUUGGAAUCUCUUGUGCAUCUUCGAUUGGAUGGUGCUGAUAUUGAACAGCUACCAGAUUCUAUUAAGUCCUUAAAGAAACUUCGGAGCCUGCUUCUAGGAAAUUGUGAGAAACUAUGUGAGCUUCCUCCUUCCAUUGGGAAUCUUGAGUCACUGGAAGUCAUGGAUCUAUCAAACACCCAGAUUGUUAGUUUACCUAGGUCCAUCAAGCAUUUGAAAAAUUUGAAAGUGCUGAAGAUGGAGGAAACUCACUUAGAAAAAUUCCCCAAAGAGAUAAAAAAUCUAAAAAAGCUGGAAGAGAUAGAUCUAUCAAAAUGCUGGAAUCUGAAGGGGUGGAUUCUCUGUGAUAUCAGAGGAUUAUCCUCAUUGAAAAUCUUGAGGCUAUCAUCUACCAGUAUUUCUAGCCUACCCUGGACCCUUCCUUUUCUCUCUGAUCUCCAACAACUCGAUUUAAGUAAAUGUGACCAACUUUGGGAUUUGCAAAGACUUCCAUCUAGCUUAAGCAUUCUUCGUUGGGGAUCCAAGACAAUGUGGACUGUGCCAGACCUUUCUUUCUUGAGAAACUUGAAAGAGCUGUACUUGGGUGAUAACUUUAAUCCUACUGAUCCAAUGCAGAAUUCUUCCCCUGAGCCACCACAAAUUGGAUGGUUAGCAAGACUAGCGAGUCUAGAAAUCUUGGAGUUGUGCCACUCAAAGAUUAACAAGCUACCUAAACAUUUUAGUAAACUUCAACUUAGAAAACUUGUUUUACACUAUGCAUGCUUGUGUGACCUUGGGGAGCUACCCCCUAGCUUAUUGGUAUUGUGCCUUCAUAGCUGCAUGAUUCAAUAUUCAUUAUUUUCUACGGUGAGAGGUCUGUCUGAAUUAGAACUCAAACGCUGUCACUUGGCAGAGACUAUCAGUCUUAAAGGUUUGAGGCGAUUGGAACUACUGAAAAUAUCUGAUUGCAAUGUGCGAAAACUUGAUGGGUUGGAAAAUUUGCCUCAUUUUAGAAGGCUCACUUUAAUGGACUGCCCUUCAUUGACCGGAUUGCCAGAUCGAACAAAUCGUACAUUCGAAAUCGAUGGGUACAAUUUCCCAGAAAAACAAAUAGUCGGCGGUUAUGGUGCUCGCACCGAUGGUUAGAAUAUUGGGGAAAUGCUUCAAGAAUGAUUCCGACUUAUGAGUGAAGAUCUUGCUGCACAGUGGAUUUUCGGUCUAUCUUCAAUAAGAAGUUGGAGGCUCUUUGAAAGGUAAAUAUUGCUACUUUUUGCUUUCUUUGACUUGAACAUCUGUACAGCUCCAUGAUGCGCACCACAAAAAAAACAUCUGUACAGCUCCAUGAUGCGCACUACACGGUCCUUCUCUUUUGGUCCUGCAGUCAAAUUUCCGAGCAGUGUCCUCUCCACCUCUUGGGCUUGGAACUUCUUUGUUGGUAGGCCCGACCUUGGGGGCUUGGACAGGCCAGUUUGUGCUUUGAAAUCUUUUGCCAGCUUUCGAUUUUAAUUUCUCAAUUCUUUCAUUUAUUUUCUAUUCUUCUAGUGAAGAUGCAUAAAUGGUAACUGGAGCACAGAAUCCAGCAUAAAUUAAAACUAACAACAGAAAUUUGAUAUUAGAUAAUUCAAUAUGCCAGUGCUUUGUGCAUGAAAUCAUGGAACAUUCUUGGCAUUUUAAUUUCUUCAUUUUUCGCUCGUUUUUGUCAUUCAGAAGACGGUGGGGACAGAUUUAGUAGCAAUAUACUGGGUGGGUUGGGAUGGAUCCUCAAUGUCAGAAUGAUGAUUGGGCAAAGACUCUACUUGGUGGAGGAGAGAUGGCUGGCUCUUUUGUUUGGAUGGGAGAUUUGUAGUCUUGGAAGUCCGGUGGAUGCACGUUGAAAAGAUAAGCUGAUGGGACUCGAGUGCAACACGUGGCGUCGCAUGCUGCUCGUUCCUUUUUGGGCUGAGGCUUACAAGAUUAACAGGGGAGUCGCAGCUGCAGUGUUGCAGAGUUUUGACUCUCAAUCUGGGUCGAUGUUGGUAACUUAAAAGUAAUAAGAACAAAGCCUUUCCGGUACCCAUAUCAGUGUUGCAACGAGCGUCAAAGGGGUAAUCAUUGUCUCAUAUCUGUUUUAAUCAAUACACUGAUCCCGCGUCCGUAUUCUGCAACUUCCAUCAGGCACUGCAUUUUUCCAUCAAACAUUGUUGUGCAUUAUUAUCUGCUGUGCUUCGAGCUCUCCCUUAUGAAGGUUCAUAUGCGACAGUCAUAUUAUUUUAGCAGUUCGACAAGCCAAAAUAAUUCGUUUGCGUUUUAUAAAAAGGAUUCUCCACCGUGAAAGCUUAUUAUACUACUUAUGGCCAUGUGAUAAGGAGAAGAACUCACAUGCUUUUGUUCUAUGAUGAUCAUUUUCAUUCUCUUUCGUUUUUUCUAAUUUUCUUGUAAAUUGCUAUUGAGAAUGGUGAUUUGUGGGUGAUUUUCCUGAGGAAGCCUCCAAGAUGUAACCGAAACUAGAAUACUUCGUAGGGUCAACUUGUCAUCUUAAACUUAUGCUCUAAUGAGGACAGUACAUCCAGACUAUAUAUAGAAGUGAAAAACAUUUUAAUCAUCUUGUAGGAGAGAGGAAAUGCAGAGUGCUUUCGGAUAUCCUUUAGAAUAUGUUGUUUGAUAUGGAUUUCAAGUAUGGAUAUUUACUGUGUCAUGAGAAAUAUAGAAGCAUCUUGAAUAUUACCGUCUAUAUGUUGUGAGAGACUUUGGCUAUGCAGACGUCUUAAAUAUUUCCAUGUUCCCUUCAAGCAACAGCCUUUGGCUGCCAAGAACACUGUUUGUGAUGACAGCCUCUAGCCUCGCAAACAAAUUUUGAGCUUGAGGUUCUUGAGAUUGGAAUAGGCUACUAUUGGAGGGAGUUCUCUGAAUACUCUAUCAAAAUUAAGGUGGUUUGAUUGGCAAGGAUGCAGCCAGAUUUAAACUACUUAUUUUGCAUUUGGAGAACUAGUCAUUCUUGAUCUAUCUCGCAGUUUGGUCACAGGAGAUUCUCAUCUACGGGGACAAAUCCUGAAGGUAAAGUGUACAUUAGCCUGGGAGUAUUAGAAUAGCUAGCGCCACCUGAACCUUUUCUCUCCUCUUUUCUUGCAGAAGGCAGGGGAAUUGAAAGUUUUGAAGCUCAGUAGCUUGAAAGUGCUAAUAUGAACACCUAGAGGGGGGUGAAUAUGUGUAGAAACAGAUUUUGCAAAUUACAGUGAAAAUCUUUACUUUUAACUCUGAAUAAUAACAGACUUUUGAAACUGAGUCUGAAGAGUAGCAGACUUUGAGCGAGAUCAAACUUUGGCAGUUAAAUAGAAUUACGAACAAAAUAAAAAGAUUCAGGGAAGAGAAUAAUAACACAAAGUUUAUAGUGGUUCGGCUUAGAUCAAGCCUACGUCCACUCUCCCAUGCUAACAGCCUUCUUGGCUGAAUUCUACUAUGCAAUCAACAAGAGAUUACAACUUUAAGUGUAAAUACUUAGUAGUAGAUCUUACUAUCUCACUAAGUCACUCUUUUGGUAUUUUUAUCACGAUUACAAACGUUUAAGCUCACAAGAGACAAGUGUAUGAUCGAAGAUCGCUCAGACUUUGGAAUUAUAAAUUCUACGCUCUGUCUCUUACUUGCUCAUCAGUCCAUCAGUCCUUGAUUUCCUUAAAUACUUCUCCACUUCCAAACUAGCCGUUGGACAGUAUCUCGAGGAUCGUCUUCCAAUCUACCCAUUGGACAGAUCUGUAUCUAGAAAAUUUGGUAGCCGUUGAGUGACAAAGGUAGAAUUCCAAAUCGAUUUCGAUCGCCCAUAUAAACAGAAUCUUGGUUUCCAUAAGUAAAGUUUCUUCAUAUAGAAAAUUCUUGUCUUCAAAAUCUAAUUGCCAAUCAAUUAGAUUGAGUCAAUCAAAUCAAUCUUGAUGUGGAAUCCAAACCAGAUCACUAACCAUUAUAUGUUUAGGGCUUGUAUUACGUUCUGUCGAAUUAUCUCGUUCUGGAUGUAAGCAAUAGACUUUAUAAUUAGACUUUACAAUUUGAGUCUGAGCAUAUUUUGCUUUUGAACAGAUUUAGCUUUAAGGUUUGAACAUAGUUUGAAUAAGUUCAGCUUCAACAUAGAGUCUGUUUUCUAGUUCAGUUUCAGCAUAGAGUCUGUCUUCUGGUUCUUUAUUCACGUUCAGUCUGGAAUUUGUCAGAAUGAGCAGACUUUUGAUAUAGAAUAGACUUUGACAUUAAAGUCAAAGUCUGGCAGUCUUCAGACUUUGACACAGAAGUCUAGAAAUCUUUAGAAUAUACUUUGGACAUGUGUUAUGUUCAGUCUUCUGGCCGUCUUAAGACUUUGACAAUAUUCUUUACAUGUUUUAUCAUCUACAUGGUCUAUUACUUAACCAUUAAACACAUUAGUAGCUUUUGAUUUAUUUUGUCAUCUUCAAAACAUCAUAAGGGAUUUCCCUAACAUAGCUCACCAGCAUACAUCUCCAGACCUCCAUACUUCAAUGCAUUUAAAGAGAUUAGUCCUGGAACGUUGUUCCCUAUUAUUAUAAAUUGGUUUUUUUUUUGGUAAGUAUUAUUAUUAUAAAUUGGUUGAUCCAUAGGUAAUCUAAAGAACUAAAUCUCCUUAAAUCUUAGGCUCUGCAGAUUCUCCAAAUACUUGCCAGAAGAACUAUUAUGUGAAAGCUUUGGAAGAACUUUUGAUUGAUGGAACUUCCGUACAUAUGAUUCAUUUCUGACAAGCCUCUAUUGAGUGACUUAAGAUUUUGAGUGCUUGCCAGUGUGAAAGUUUGAAUCAUAAAUCAGAUUUUAAUGGUCACUUGACUUCUCUUUUCUAUCUUGGAUUGGAUGGUGCUGCUAUUGAUAGCCUCCCAGAUUCUAUUGGAUCCUUAAAGAAACUUCGGAGCUACUUUUAAGAAAUCGUGAGAAUUUACUACGACUUCCUUAUUCCAUUGGGAAUCUUGAGUCGUUGGUAGUCAUGGAUUUAUCAAGCACCAAGAUUGCUAGAUUACCUAGGUUGGUCAAGCAUUUGAGAAAUUUGAAAGUGCUGAAGAUGGAGUUAUAGUGGGAUAUUUUCAGAAGUUCCAAUAGCCUAUCAAACAAUAGCCAAGGGAGUUGUAGCUGCAGUGUUGCGGAGUUUUGUAUCUCAAUCUGGGUUGAUGUCAGUAACUUAAAUGUAGUAAGAACAACGCAUUUCCCCUACCCGUGUCAAUGUUGCAACAGGCGUCAAAUGGAGAAUCACCAUCUCAUAUCUGUUCUAAUCAAUACCCUAAUCCUGAGUCCGUAUUGUGCAACUUCAAUGAGACUGCAUUUUUCCAUCAAACAUUGUUGUGGUUCCUUAGUCAUUGUGCUCGAGCUCUCUUAUUUGAAGGCUUAUCAUGCGAUAGUCAUGAUGUUAGUGGCAGUGCUUCCACAAGCCAAAAUAAUUCGUUUCUGUUUUUCAAAAUGGAUUCUCCACCAUAAAAGCUAAUUAUACUACAUUUGGCCGUGUGCUAAGGAGAAGUACUUACAUGCCUGUGUUUUAUGAUGAUCAUUUUCUUUCUAUUUUUCUUCUUUGCCACUGAGAAUGGUGAUCCGUGGGUGAUUUUUCCUGAGGAAACCUCCAAAAUGUAGCUGGAACAAGAAUGCAUCAUAGGGUCAUCUUGUCAUCUUGAACUUUUGCUCUAAUGAGGACAGUACAUGUAGACAAUAACUAGAAAUAGAGAAAGUGAAAAGACAUGGAAACUCUUCUUGUCGAAGGGAGGACAUGCAGAGUGCUUUCAGGUUAUCCUUUAGAAUAUGUUAACAACAUGGAUUUCAAGUAUGGAUACUUACUGUUUCAUGAGAAAUAUUGGAGCAUCUUGAAUUACCUUUGUUGUCAGAGACUCUGGUCACGUGGACACCUUAAAAAUUUCUGCAUUCCCUUCAAGCAAACGGCCUUUAGACGUCAAGAACACCGUCUGUCAUGACAGCCUCUAGCCACGCAAACUCCACGAAAUUUUCUGAGCGACUAUAGUUUGGCCUCUGCUCAGAGUGACGAAUAUGUGCAUAAAAGCUCCACACGGUCGAAAUAAACUACAUUAGUAAAACCUUAUUAGCAGUAGAUUCAUUUAAUUGCGAACUAUUCUUUGAGAAGAUCUUCGACACUUGCGUUUAGCUGUGUCAAUGAAUGUAUAGACUAGUAAUCUAUAUAGCUUAUGCUGGAGUAACCUCACUUUAUGAGGGAUAGUUCCAUUACAGUAGUACAGGAAGAUGAAUCGCUCCUCUGUGUUGAAGAUGACUUAAAAGCAUGAAACCCUGCAAAGCAAGUCGAGUCUCUUGAAUGAAGUUGGGAUUUCAUUUUCCUAUUGAUAAUACACGUUUGGAGUUUUAAUAAAUAUAAUGGACCGCAAAGAAGUUUGUUCAAUGAUAAAGGGUCCAAGAACCUUGUUAAACGAAACGAUUAGCAAAUUUCAUGAAGUUAACCUCGAAACCGAAGUCCCAUCCCCUGAUGUCAACAUCUGCCAUAUAAAGAGAAGGUAUGAUCAUGCAAGAAGAUGAGGAAGAACAAGAAACCAUCAAUUAGAAGUUCAAGACCUAUAAAUACUAGAACUAAAAGGAGGAUGAAGGAAUGCUCAACCUUGCUAAACUCUUAUCUGACUUUUCAUCUAGUCUUUCAUUUGGGUCCUUCACGAUAUCAUAUGACUUUAGUCCUCACUUCUGUGUUAGGAUCCCUUUGUUUGAAAGAGAAAACUAUUUUUGAAAAAUUAUUUUUAGCUUUUCGGUAUUUAAUAAAUGGAAACUAAUCGAUACAAAAAAAAAGUUUGUAUAGGAUUUGAAAACAACAAGCUUAGAUUAAGGGAAAAAUGACUUCGCCUUCUCAUAAGAUGAAAAUCACUUUUUCUCAAUUACGAUCAUUUUCAUUUAAAUGAAAAUUAACCAAAUCUUUGAAACUUGACCAUUUAUUCAACGAUAUGCUUAACAGGUAAGCUCAGGACACUAAUUUUUAUGUUCUAUUUCAAAUGCAUAGCAACUAUUUAAUUACACCUAAUGUAACUUUAGAUUACGUAGGAAGGUGAAACCGUUAAGUUUCAUGUGUCAUAAUGAAUAAGAGAGAGAGAGCAAAUCAUAGGAUGAAGCCAUCGCCAUCCCCAUUGCCGUACACGUGUCCCUUGUUACCUUCCCCUGGGCCUGAGAAUAAUGGUACUUAUGCCGAGUGGGAUUGCGGUAAUGAAAGCAUCUUUACAAGAUGCCCUCUGCUGAGAAUUGGCGGAAGGAUUCUGCAAAUGACGGCAUCGACAAGUGUGCGGUGUCGAGAGUCGUCUGCAUAGCGCCGAUGAUUGAUUAUUGUCAGAAUUUUGAGUGAAAAACAUUGGGGGAUAAGUGUAUCGUGUAUUACUUUUCAAUGAUCAAUGAUGUACAAUAUGAGUCCUAUUUAUAAUACAUAGGAUCAAAACUAUCUAAGGAAGAAAAAUAUACAGAAUAUAUGAAAAUAAUUUCCUAAUACAUAAUAUUCUAAUUUUCUAACAAUAAACUAAUCAGCAUCAAUUAAGAUCAACAUAAAGAUCAAUUCCAUGCAGCAAGAUCAAUUAGCUGGCAACGGUAUCUUCAACAAUUAUCUUCGAAAGACACGAAUCUUUGAGUGAUCUCUCUCGUGUCACAUGCCUGCUGCGCCUGUCACAAUAUUAGAUUAGCCCUGCCAAAAAAGCAACGAAAGAAAUGAUGCCAUCUACCCUUUCGAAUAAAUCAUGUGUUAGCAGCCUCACCAUCCGCUUUGUCUUUUGCUCUUAUUCUCUAGCAUCUUUUCCCUAAUGACGCGGACCCAAAGACCUGGCAAUACUAAAAUAAGCCAGAGUCAUUGUUAUGCGUAGACAAUCUUGAUCCAAAACGGUUUGCACGUAAUUAACAGGAUUUGAACGGUCAUAUAUGUUCCUGAACUAAAAAUUGUUAGCGCUCUAAUUAAAUGUGCUAAAUCUUUAUUCUUGUAUUCUACAUAUGUGAUUUUCUAUAUCAACAUCUAGCAUGAUGUUUUUCUUUAGCUCUCUCGUUGACUAGAUUGAUGUAAAGUAACUUCUACACAAAUAUUGAUUUUUUAUGCCCUUCGAGAAAAUUUAAACAUCCAUAAUCAAUUGGGUAAUCACUAAUAAAAAAGACAUCGAUGUUUAAUUGUGAUCAAUUUCGUACGAAUAGAAGCACAAAUUCUAUAGCUCAAAAGCACAAAUUCUCCAUCACAUCUCACAUUUAUGCUUCCAAACAUUGUGAGCCCAAUUGCUGUCAUUUGAGGCACCCUUUCCUACGGUCCCCGCAAGGAAGAAUUAUGAUCUUUUAUAGAUACUAGACCUAUCAAAAGAAUGGAUCGGGUUGAAUUGUGUCAGGUCGAAAAUGAUUCGACCUAAAUCAAUCAAAUUAAGCUAUUUGACCCAUUUUAUAUUCAAUGCAAUUUAGUAAUUCAUACUUAAUCCCUAUUUGAUCUAAAUCCAACCCAGCUCGACUCAAAAUUCAACUUUAGCAACAUUUCUCUUUAAAUGAUCAACUUUGAAGAAGGUGCUUUAUGGAUUGAUUUGUCGAGUUAGCGAGGGGACCUUGGGAGGUCAGGUUAUGGAAGGGGCAUGAAGGUGGUGGUGAAAGGUUGGGUUUCCUUGAAGUGCAAUUCGCAACAAUAGAGUGAAUCCGCAAGACCUGAUGAUGAUGAAAGUAGAGCGCGAGUCAUGAAAUCAAACAGGGAGAGAGAAGAUAAUGGUGAAGAAAGAUUAAAGUAGGCUAAGUCUAGCCUAUCUAUUAAAUGAAUUGAAAGUGGGAUUAUAACAAACCCGUUAAAACCCCUAUGUUUUGGGCUUUUGACUUUAUAAACCCUACCAUCAUCUUCUUCUUCUGCUAGUAUUGCCAUGUCUGGCCCAAAUAAAGGUCCUGUAGGCGCAAUUCUAAUGACAUGCACGUAGACUCACCUUGACUCACCUACUCUAAUUCCCGGAGGCGCGAAUCUAGUGACAUAUGCACGUAGACUCACCUACUCCUCCUCUUCUUCUUCUUCUUCUUGAAGGAGGGGCAUACAGAGAUUUCGAUGGUUGGACCGUCUAAUGAACCGGGACAGAAAGAGGAAGAUUUGGAGAAAGAGGAAUUCAAGAAAGAAGGCAAGAAAUAGCAUAAGGGGAUAGUUAUCCAAAAAGUAUUAAAUUUAUUGUACAGUGAUCAAUUCAAUCAUUAUGUUUGUAAUUUGGUCUAUUUAGUCUUAAACUUUUUGAGAGUUUUUCAAUAUAAUUCACGUGGCUAAUUUUGGUAGGAAAUUGCUAACAUGGCGAUCCAGUCAAUGUCAGCUUACCUACAUGUCGGCGUUAAUGUAGAUGAUUUUUAAAUUUUUUUUUAAUUUUUUUUAAUUUUCCUAUUUUUUAAAUAUUUUUUUUUCAUUUUUUUUUCUCGUUGAGGCCUUGGCAACCCCGAUGAAUAAAAUAAAAUAAAAUAAAAUAAAAUAAAAUAAAUUGGAAAAAUUUAAAGCCAAAUUGAUCAUGAACCGAAGUUAUAGGUUUGGUUUGGAUCGUGACUUGACUUGGGUUCAGAAUUUUUUCAAAAUUUAUAAUAAUUCGAUUUAGGAUGAAAGCACUUUGAAAGCAAAUCAAACAGAAACCAAAGCAUCCUAAAAAUAGCUAAGAGCCUCGAAGGAUAAUGCGUGUUGUGGAGUGGAAAUGUGGAUGUGGAAGUGCAAGUCCUGGCAUCGGAUAGUGCUCGUAACAAGGCUAGUCCUCGUCCUAAACCCUGAUAAGUCUUAAGCCGGUCUUUCGAUAAUUAGUGCAUAUAUGUGCUGGUAGACAAAAAUGACAGAAGAAAUGUAUUCAGAUUAACGUUACUUCAUGCUCCUAUGGAUUGUCAAAAUCGUUUGCGUCUGUGGCAUCAUUCUGGAGAACUUAGGCCCUGCAUGGCUGCACCUUAUUUCUGUUCCCAGGAACAAAAAUUUCUGUUUUUUUGUUCCUGGGAACAAAAAAGGAACAUAAACGCGUUUGUGUGCGUUUCUGUUUCUUUUUUGUUCUUUUGUUCCCAGGAACAAAAAAGAAACAGAAACGAGAAACACAAAUUUUGUGUUUCUCGUUUCUGGAACACAAAUGAGAAACACUUUUUUUUUCUUUUUCUUUUUUCUCUUAUUUUCUUGUUCUUCUUUCUUUUGGCCGGUCGCCGGNNNNNNNNNNNNNNNNNNNNNNNNNNNNNNNNNNNNNNNNNNNNNNNNNNNNNNNNNNNNNNNNNNNNNNNNNNNNNNNNNNNNNNNNNNNNNNNNNNNNGCUGCAAUAUCUUAUUUUUUUCUAUUUCUGUUCCCUGGAACAAUUUUUAAACAGAAACACAACCAAACGCGCCCUUAAAUGCACCUUCAAACCUAGCCCAGGCCAUGGUGGGAGUUUUAAAGAAGGGUUGUCAUUGGGAGAAGGAAGGGAGGAGAGGUGUGCAACGUGCUCGCCCUGCCUCUUUCGGACAGUUCUUGGAUAGUUGUCAGUUAAUGGACCCAGAGAGUAAGGGAUGCUGCUUCACGUGGUCGAAUAAUAGGGAUGGGAUGGCAAAGGUUUGAGAGAGAAUUGAUCAGGCAGCAGCGAAAAAGAACCGGAAAGCUUCCUUCCCAAACGCUGAAAUCUGGGCUCUUCCUACAGAGGGCUAUCUUAAUUUGCUCUAAUUGAACCACCCAGGAGGAAAGAGGAGUUUAAGUUUGAACAGUUUUGGCAGGAACAUUACGAGCGUCCAGGUUUAAAAGUAAAGCAAUGCAAUGAGACUACUGAUUCUCCCUAUAAAAUUAAUAGUCUCCUUAGCACUAACAUCCGAGAGUAGAAAGAAGUUCCAUAAUGCUAGUAAGAAGAUUGAAAGAUUAAAAUAACAGCUUACUCGGUUGGUAAAAAUCAGAGUAGACCAGCUUCAUAGGGAGUGACAAAAAUCUAUUCGAGUGAGGAUCGACCAGCUUCGGAGGCAAAAGGAGCAGUAUUGUCAUCUGAGUCUAGGGUUUGAUAGAUGAAAUCGCAUGAUCGUGAUACCAAACCCAACCUCAACCAUCUAAAAGACGUCAACUAAAUAAGAUUUCUCCAUGACAAGACACUGAAGGGACUUGGCGUGCUGCGACUGAAAGACUGAAAGGAAUGAUGACCAAGUUAACGAGCGAUUCGCACUUGACAUGGCAGUUAUAAAAUUCUUGACGCGAUUAUAGAUCAAUGCCCUAAGGUGGUAUCAUUUGAGAUGGGCACCUGAACUCACUAGACCUCGACUGAUGGAAGAUAUCCGGUUGGCUGUUUUCGGGAUGGGAGCAGCUAAAGCACCGGGAUCAGACGAAAUGAGCGGAUUGUUUAACCAAAGAUACUGGGAGACUGUUAAAGCAAAAAAUAUUCUGUUAACACGAGUUAUUUUCAUAUGUCGAUAGGAGAUCGAACCAAGCUUAGAUUACAUUAGUUCUCAAAGUGCCUUCGCCGAGUGUAUAGCUCAAUGGCCUCUGCAAUUUUGCAUGUAAGGUGAUAGCCAGAGUAUUAGCUCACCGAUUAAAAUCAUUAAUGCCUCAUUUGAUUUUUCCAAUUUUAAAGCGCCUUUGUUCCGGGGCCUAAACUUUAAGAUAAUUUUAUGUCAUGCAUGAAGUGUUUUGUGAGGUUGUCCCACACCAGUUGUGGAAGGAGUUGAGGAUCAGUUUAUAAGUGCAAGGGAAAAUUUUAUCAUAUGAGCUGACUUGUGGGGAUGAGAGAGGCUCAAGUUCACCUAACAAUUUUGCAUCAUUUACGAAGGGGGCAAAGAAAGAGGAAUUUUGAUGUUUUGCUCAAGUUAGACACUUCUCAUGGCUCGUUUGAUGAAGCCGUUCUGCUCUAUAUGGUUCAACUAGAUUAUGCAUUGCUAGACUGAUGUUUCUUGAUGUUUCUUUUGGUGUUAAGUUAAUUGGAGAGCUAGUCCCGUAUUUCGUACCUACGCGAGGUUUACGACAAUGUGAUCCAUUGCCUCCUUAUCUGUUUAUCCUAGUUCCAUAUUCCCUAUCGAUCUUAAUCAGUACUGCAAUUCAAGAAGGAAGGCUUAAAAGGUAUAAAUUUGACAUCGAAUGCCCGUUUUUUGCCAUUUAUUAUUUGCUGAUGACUCCAUCUUCUUCCUUGAGAGGUACGUCAGAGAAUGGUAGGAGCUAUUGAACAUUUUGAAUCGAUAUUGUUAUGCAUCUGCCAAACUAUUAAUCUAAACAAAUAUGGGGUUCUCUUGAGGAAAGGUUGUCCAGAGUCAUCAGAAAAAUGUUGCAGAAACUCUCAAGGUCCCGCUUUUAGAAGAUGCAGGAAGAUAUUUAGUAGUGUCAUCUAGGCGGGGAAGAUUCAGAAAAGUAGUUUGCUAACGGUUUAUUUCCAGAAGACUUGCAUCUCAUUUAGUUCUCAAUUUUCAUUGACUUUUUUGAUUAAAUGACAGUGCAAACGAUGUAGCCUUGUCAGGUAAGCAUCAAUGAGAAGGAAAAUGAUUUUACCAGGGUCACUCCCCUGAAAAAAAUUCUGCAUACGACACCAACUCCCGGAGUAGAAAUUGGAAAAAAAAAGUUUAUAUAAAAAAAAAAUGAAAGUUUGAAGCAUAGAGAAGGAGAUGACCAUUGUGGGUGCUUAGGACCUGAAUGACUCAGGGAAUCCCUUCUAGUAGGAGUGUAAUAUGUCCAGCACCACAUUGUUCUGUUUCUCCGCCGGCUCUCUUUCCAUUGAUAUGAAGAAUCCUCACCUGCUCCGCCUUCUAUGCUGAAUCCAAGAAUUGUCGGCUUUGAACACAUGUACGGUCAAAGUCUCCUUCCAAUCGACCAAACCUUGCGUGAACGACAAGACCUUGGAAUCUAAGGGAAUCUGCUUGAAGACGAGGAAGUUAACUAGAAAGGUAAAUUCUAAAGGGUUAAUGCCAUCAAAUAUUUCAAAUUGGUACCUUAGCGUACCAACUUCUGCUUAUGACUAUGUUGCGGGCCACGCCAAGGUUAUCAUCUUGAUUCUUUUUUUCUUGGGGGGUUAUGUCUGCGUGAGGACCGUUGAUUUUGGCUGGUAUAUGCUUAGCUCUGCGUCUUGGUGCAAAUUUUUCUUUGGACAGCAAUAAAGGAUUAACUGGAACAUUCUUUGUUUAUCUUGAUUUGUUCUUCAAAUUGGCCGGAUCUCAUCUUCUUUCGAGGACAUCGUCAAUGGAAAAAAUUACCAAAAAAGUCUUAAAUAUAUUACAAUUAUAUCAAUUCAGUGUUUUUUUUUUUGGUUAUCUAAAGGUCUGAUGGAUUUUAAGUUUGAGCCUGUCGACCACACUACAUCGAUAUUUUUUUCAACAUAAGAAGCCAACCUUCAUCCCUAAUUUCGUUCUCUAGAUCAAAGGAAGAAGGUGUUGCUACAUUAGUAUGCUUUGAUACCUUUACCUAAGGAAAUUGUCAAUCGUCAAGAGAGAUCUCAAGUCUAAACCCGUUAACAUAUUUAAUUGGAUUUACCCUCACUCAAAAGUUCAAACUAAGAAGUUAUAAACUUACUAGGAUAUUUUAACUCAUCUAUUUCACAUUAAUUUUCUGAUGUGAAACAUUUUUUUAAUGCAUUUCACGGCAGAGGAAUUGAGAAUUUAUUUUCAAAGGAUUCUUGAAAGCACCUAUUAUUGCAAUUCUUUUGCUGGGAAGGGAAAUCCUCCAAUAGCGACAUUACAAACGAUGUAAUUUGUUGAGGUCCCACCAUCAAGAACUGUUAUUCUUGUGAUUGUAAUUCGUCGUAGCAAAAGUCAAAUAAGGGCUAGUUCUUUCGCUCAAUGUAAAAGUUGUGGUCACAGGAAUAUUAAUUGCGGAAAUAGUCGUAUCACUUUUAAUUUUCUUUAUACAAAAAUUGAAGAAGGUUACAUAUUUUACUUAAAUUGCUGGGAUAACCUCCCUAAGCUAUUUCGAGCAUGCAAAAUAAUCUAAUAUUACUAAGAAGCGCUUCAUUGUUUGAUAGAUGCACAUUGUGUCAAAGAUGGGGCCCUUGAAAUGGGAAUGCCAUGCUAUUUAUCAAGGACAAACCUGAUAUCGGGAGCCAAGGUGUCUAAAAGUUAGAUGAGCAUGAAUAGAAGGCGAACGAGUCCGGUAGAACGAGGAGUUCACAGGAACUUGACUGGACCAGGCAAAGAUUAACAACUGAUGAGAACUAAGAUCGCCAAUAUGCUUGAAAUGACUAAAAGCAUGGUAGGCAAACAGUCACAUUUCAGCGUAAAGCAUGAAAACCUUGGAAGAACCGUCGGCCGAGGCAACUCCUAAUAUCAAUUCGUGUAGAAGACGUAUCAAGUGCUUCUCGUAAAAAAACUGGGGUGAAUUUUUGGAUAAAAGAAAACAUUUUGAUAAAAAGAAACUUCACCUGAAUAAGAAAACCUAGACCACUUUUGCAUUAACUUGAAAUUCAAAUUAGAGGCAAAUGACUAGUUUCAGAUUCUGGAGGCUCAUAGUAGAAAGCCUGGAGUUGAAUCACGGCAAUUUACAUUUUUUGUGCGAACAGCCAGAGGAUCAAAUGAUGGACAGAAGUAGAAAUAUCCAUUUAGGGAAAGUGUAUUUGUGAUUUUCUCUAAAAGCGCUUUCUUGCUUAUUGCAAUUAGUGAUCAGAAACUGUUAUAGUGUGAUAAAGGCACUUGCAAUUUCAUAAUUUAUCUACUAGCUUUUGAGCUAAAGCAACACCUCCUUCUAUAUGUAAAUUUCUGAAGAUUAUUGGUGGAAACCAACUUGGUUUAAGGCUGUUAAUUCGGAAAAGUGGAUGCAGACUAAUAUAAACUUUAUUUUUUUGGGUUGAUGACUUAAACAUUGUAAAUUUGCUCGCAUUCUUCUAAAUCUCAGCGCUUUAUCUGUUUGAUAGAAAACCCACCAUGCAUUAAUUGUUUCUGCUUCUGCCAAAAUUUAUUUGCAAAAGAAAAUUGAAUUAUUUAAGACCUAUUCAUCUCUCUAAAUUGUUGUGUGAGUCUUAUAGAAAGGGGGAAAAAAGUAAAUGGAGAGAACUUGACGCCUUAAAGUUUGGGAUAAAUGUGUAGCGUGGGAUUGCGCAAUUUUCUGAUCUUGUCUCGAAAGACUAAUUAAAUAUAUUUAAUAAAGAUAUAUUCAAUUUUUAAAAUAACGGUUGGGCAUGUACCAAAGAUAAUCAAUGAGUUAGAGUUUAUUUUGCAUCAACUAUUUAAGAAAUCAGCAAGGACCUUGAUACUUUUUCCCAAGACCAAGAAUUCACGAGUGCCUUUGUAUGGUUGGGCGAGGGGGGCUGCCACAGGACGGACGCUGCUUUCCAGUCGAGCAAAAGAUGACCUUAUGACAGUCUUUUUUUAAAUGUUUUUUUUUCUCUGUCGUCUGGUGUAUUCCACGCAUAGAAGUCCUUCCCGUCAACGCGCUAAUAACGUGGAAUCGCUUCUGCAGAGCAGGCCAGACCUCGUCGGUGAGUGAGCGAGAGAGGGAUGUGAUGGCCCCCAACUCGUUUGUGCUUCGUUACGUCUGCCUGCGUUUUAUAGAUAGGAGAAGGCGGUCCAAAAAAAAAAAAAAAUAUUAACUUCUUGUUUCCAAGAAUAAUUUUUAGAGAUAUAUUUUUUUCUUUUCUAUUUUUCUUUUGUUCUUCUUCCUUGUUGCGGUCACCACCAGCCACUUGCCAAUCGUCAACCAUCUCCUGCCGCUCGCGGCCACCGUCGGCAAUCGAUCGCCCACAACUGUUGGUGAUAGUCGCCGCUGCCCGUAGCCCAUUAGCCACCGUCCACAGCCCACUAGCCAACGACUUCCACCGUCCACCGGCAGCCUACCAUCGCCAACCGCCACACGACCGCUACCUGCCGCUGCAUGACCACCAAUCGUCAUUGACCACCGUUGCAUGACUGCCGCCCACAGCCCACCGGUCGCUACCCCCUUCCAUGGCUGGUAGGCUGUGGGUGGCAAUCUUGCGGUGGCGGUUGGCGGCAACGGUCAACGAUCGUGCAACAGUAGUGCGAUGAUCGCACGAUGGUCGUGUGGCGGUCUUGCGGCGGUCGGCGGCGAUGGUUGGCGAUGGUGCGGCGGUGGUGUGAUGGUCACGUGAUGGUCGUGCGGCGGUCGUGCGAUGGCCAUGCGAUGGUCGUGCGACGGUCGUGCGGUCCAUGAGUAAAAAGAAAAAAUAAAUAAAUAUAAAAAUUUAUAAUUUUUUACCAAACGCGUUUCUAUUCUUUUUCUAUUCCAAAAAUAAAAAUUUCGUAUAAUUACCAAACACCUUAUUUUGCUUAGAAAUUAUUCCUGGAGUAGAAAUAGAUAAAAACUAUUUCUGAAAAAAAAUAGUUCCUUGUAAUAGAAAUGUUGCAAUGUGUACCUUAGAGGUCCCGAUACUCGCAAGAUAUUUGCAAAUUACCUCUAUAAUGGCCUGAUUAGUGCAGGGAUUGCUGUCUUUAUAGACGAUAUCGAUCUUGGUAUUAGAGAAAAUAUCACCGAUGCAUUGGUUCAAUCCAUAAAGCAGUCCAAGAUAUCAAUACCUAUUCUCUUGCAGAAUUAUGCAUCCAGUAAAUAUCGUCUCUGGAGCUGGCCCAAAGGGUGGAAUGCCAAGAAGCAGGCGCUCAAAUGAUCAUGCCCAUUUUCUAUGAUGUUAGCCCCGCUGAUUUAAAAUACCGACGUGGAUGUGUGGGGAGGCAUGAGGACCGUGUUGACCGUAAGGACAUCAAUAAAUGGAAGCAGGCUCUCGAAAAGAUUGCUGAGAUGAAGGGGCAUGAUCUGGGAAAUACAAACAUAGGGUAAUCAACUUUUUACUGUCCUUUUAAUGUAAUUCGCUUUAGCUCUACGAGAAUUUGGUGAAGCAAAAUGUUGUUGAAAUCAUUAAUUGGAUGGCACUAGAAUUGAUACUGAGGUAAGUGUACUUUCCAUGCCCUUCUUGUUGCCCACUGCAUCGUCCGCUGUUGGUCAAUAUUUGGUACGAUUUAACUGGAUUAUUUCCUUUGUAAUUUUCAUAAACUGUUGUUAGUUAUUUUUUAAUCUCAUCACGACUCCUUAUUUUCAUCAUCACGUUUGGCAGUUAUGGUGCCCACUAAACAGGCAGUCACAUAUAAAUCAUUCUUCUUCAACCGCUUUAAAAUAUCUGAAACAACUUUCCCUACAACUGGUGAGCUGUGGGCGACAAUCUUGCGGUGGCGGUCGGCAGAAGGCGGCAACGGUUGGUGAUGGUGCGGCGGAAGUGUGGCGGUGGUGCGAUGGUCGUGUGAUAGUCGUGUGAUGGUCGUGCGGCGGUCGUGCGGUCCAUAAGUAAGAAGAACAAACAAAUAAAUAUAAAAAUUUAUAAUUUUUUACCAAAUGCGUUUCUAUUCUUUUUCUAUUCCAAAAAUUUUGUAUAAUUACCAAACACCUUAUUUUGCUCAGAAAUAGUUCCUGAAGUGGAAAUAGAAAAAAAAUAUUUCUGAAAAGAAAUAGUUCCCUAUAAUAGAAAUGUUGCCAUAUGCACCCUUAAAGGUCCCGAUACUCGCAAGAUAUUUACAAAUUACCUCUACAAUGGCCUGAUUAGUGCAGGGAUCGCUGUCUUUAUAGACGAUAUUGAUCUUGAUAUUAGAGAAAAUAUCACCGAUGCAUUGGUUCAAUCCAUAAAGCAGUCCAAGAUAUCAAUACCUAUUCUCUCGCAGAAUUAUGCAUCCAGUAAAUAUCGUCUCAUGGAGCUGGCCCAAAGGGUGGAAUGCCAAGAAGCAGGCGCUCAAAUGAUCAUGCCCAUUUUCUAUGAUGUUAGCCCUGCUGAUUUAAAAUACCGACGUGGAUGUGUGGGGGAGGCCUUCAGUAAGCAUGAGGACCGUGUUGACCGUAAGGACACCAAUAAAUGGAAGCAGGCUCUCGAAAAGAUUGCUAAGAUGAAGGGGCAUGAUCUGGGAAAUACAAACAUAGGGUAAUCAACUUUUUACUGUCCUUUUAAUGUAAUUCGCUUUAGCUCUACGAGAAUUUGGUGAAGCACAAUGUUGUUGAAAUCAUUAAUUGGAUGGCACUAGAAUUGAUACUGAGGUAAGUGUACUUUCCGUGCCCUUCUUGUUGCCCACUGCAUCGUCCGUGUUGGUCAAUAUUUGGUAUGGUUUAACUGGAUUAUUUCCUUUGUAAUUUUCAUAAAUUGUUGUUCGUUAUUUUUUAAUCUCAUCACGACUCCUUAUUUUCAUCAUCACGUUUGGCAGUUAUGGUGCACUCACAGGGAAAGUUGUUUCAAAUAUUUUAAAGCGGUUGAAGAAGAAUGAUUUAUAUGUGACUGGCUGUUUAGUGGCAUGGAACCCUACGUGUGGGAGGUUAUGAAGAAGCUUGGUGUCGUCUAUGACAAUGACCAAGUAAUCGCAGUACAUGACAAAGAUGUAGGUGUGCUUGGGAUACGAGGCAUGCCAGGGAUUGGCAAGACUAUCCUUGCAAAGGUUGUGUAGAACCAAAUCCAUCGUCUCUUUCAAUGUUGUAGCUUUCUUUCUAAUAUUCGAGAAAAUGUUGCAUUCGAUAGACUCAUCGUGGGCCUACAAGAAAAGUUAAUAUCAAACCUCCAAUGGAAAGAACCAAGAAGGCUAAGUACUUGUGACGAAGGUGCCAAAGCCAUAGCAAAUUCAUUUAACGAAAUGAAAGUUCUCAUUCUCCUGGACGAUGUGGAUCAUUUUCACCAGAUUAAGCAUUUAGCUAGGAAACUCAGUUGGUUUGGCCCAGGAAGCAGGAUUCUCAUGCUAGUUGGAGAUAUUAAUGUUCUCGAUGGUUACGGAAAUGGAGUCUGGGUCAACAUCGGUAACUUAAAAGUAGCAAGAACUAGGCAUUUCCCCUACCCUUGUCUUGUGUUGCAACUAGCGGCAAAUGGGUAAUCGCCGUCUCAUGUCUGUUCUAAUCAAUACACCUAUCCCGAUUCUAUAUUAUGCAGCUUCCAUUUCCAUCAAAUAUUGUUGUGCUUUCUUAUCUACUUUGCUCGACCUCUCUUAUUCGAAAGCUCAUUAUGCGAUAGCCAUAUGAAGUUAGCGCUUCCAUGCUUCUGUUCUGUGUGAUCAUUUUCUUUCUCUUGCUUUCUUCUUCGCUACUAAGAAUGGUGAUCCGUUGGUGAUUUUUCCUAAGGAAGCCUUCAAGAUGUAACUGGAACUAGAAUGCAUCAUAGGGUCAUCUUGUCAUCUUAAACUUCUGCUCUAAUGAGGACAGUACAUGUGGACCAUAACUAGAUAUGAAGAAAGUGAAAGAACAUAGAACUCUUCUUGUAGGAGAAAGGAAAUGCUGGGUGCUUUCAAUUUAUCCUUUACAAUAUGUUGUUCGAUAUGGAUUUCAAGUGCGGAUAUGCAUCGGGUCAUGAGAAAUAUUGGAGCAUCUUAUAUAUUACUUUUGUCUAUUGUUAAAGAAUCUGGCCAUGCAGACACCUUAAAUAUUUUCGUGUUCCCUUCAAGCAAACAGCCUUUGGCUGCGCCAUUCCUCCAAAUUUUCUUAGUGACUAUAGUUUGGCUUUUGGCUUUUGGCUUUUGGCUCUGCUCAAAGCAAUAAAUAUGCACAUAGAAGCUCUACACAGUCGAAAUAACUGCAUAAGUAUAACCUUACUAGCAGUAGCAAUGGAUUCAUUUAAUUGCAAACAACUUGAUGAUGAGAUCUUUAGCACUUGCAUUUAGCUACAUUAAUGAAUGUACUAAUUGUACAAUUCUAUAUAGCUUAUGGCGGAGCAACCUCACUUUAUCAUGGACUGUUCCAUAUAAGAGUACAUGAAAAUGAAUCGUUCCUCUGUGCCGAUGAUGACUUGAAAAAUGAACCUUGCAGAUCGAGUUGAGUCUCUUGAAUGAAGUCGGGAUUUCAUUUUCUCGUUGAUAAUACGUGUUGGGAGUUCUAAUAAACAUAAUGCACCGCGUGGAAGCUGGUUCGACAAUAAAGGGUUGAAGAACCUUGUUAAACGAAGCGAUAAACAAAAUGUCAUGAAGUUAACCUCGAAACCGAACUUCGUCCCAUCCCUUGGUGUCGACCUCUGCCGUAUAAAUAGAAGGUAUGAUCGUGCAAGAAGAUGAGGAAGAUCAAGAAACCAUCAAUCGGAAGUUCAAGACCUGUAAAUUACAGGAACUAAAAAGGAAGAUGAAGGAAUGCUCAAUUGCGCCCAAACCCUUACCGACUUUUCAUCCGAUCUUUCCUCAGGUCUUUUGUAAUACCUCUCAACUUUAAUCUCCACUUUUAUGUCAGGAUCCCUCUGUUUAAAAGGAAAAUUAUUUUUGAAAAUUAUUUUUGUAACUUCUUGAUAUUUCAUAGAUAAAAAUCUAAUCAAUUUACAAAAAAUAUUUACAGGAUCUAAAAUGGCGAGCUUAGAUAGAAAGAAAAACAACUUUACCUUUUGACAAGUCACUUUUCCUAAAUCACCGUAGUCACAAAAUAAAUGAAGAUUAACCAUUUUCUUUGAAAAUCCUCGUUAUGAAAUUAUCGGUGGUUGUACUGUAGUCGAAAAAAAUGUGGUUGCUCCAUUCGCGUCAAUUUUUUCUUUUUUUAACCUUCAGCGGAGAGAUUUAUUCCACAAGCAAAUUUAUAUAUUAAUGAUUUUGGAGAUUACUUUGCCCAAUAAAAAGAUUUUAUAGUCCUUCAUAACGACCUCCGCGAGUUGGCUCAUUCACAUCGCAGCCGUCCAUCCUCCCCUGCGGAACUGUCGGCCUCCGGUGCUCGCCUCCGGAACCGCCACAAUCGCCGCCGCCGCCGACGACAGGUAUGUUCUCUCUCUCUCUCUCUCUCUCUCUCUCUCUCUCUCUCUCUCUACACCGAGCUCAGCAUGUCGCAGUUCAGGGGCUCCGGUCACCUGAAAACUCUGGGCGAAAUCUCGUAGAGCCAGCGACGCGCGGGGUUGAGAAAUGGAGCGGCGAGCUUGCUUCGAUUCGGUUUCCAGCUUCGUUUUUUGUUAGGGUUUUCAGGCGGAGUAUCGAGGGGGACUGUUGAGAUUGCGCUGCGGAAGAAGGUAUGGCGAAGUGCCAAUGUGUAGUGGAGAUGCUGCGGGGUCAAGAAAGCAUCGGGCCGUGACGACGUUCGUGUCGUGGUAUUUUCAAACUGAUGAGCAAGAGAGCGAGUAUUGAGAUCGGGAAGAAUGGAUUUUGACGCGUGGGAUGCUUUCGUUCGGAGGCGGCGCGGCAAGAAUUGGUAGUUCGGUUUCGAUGUGCGAGCGAGCGAGCGAGCGAGCGAACGAAGAGAAGGUUGCGGAAGCAUUUCUCCGAGAGUGUGGGGGUGUUUAAUCGGAGGGCUUUUGGGUCGUGAAUGCUGAAUUUUCGUCGAGAGCUGUGUAGGGGGAGAGUUGGUUCGUUUGCUGUUGCCGUUAUCUUCAUCGAAUUGGACAAUUAGUUUUUUUGGCCUUUCCUUAUGAUAUGUUGAUUUUCUUUUGUGUUGUUUUACGCCAUGUUGUCUGUUAAUUGCUUUUUUUUUUGGCCUUUCCUUAUGAUAUGUUGAUUUUCUUUUGUGUUGUUUUACGCCAUGUUGUCUGUUAAUUGCUUUGGCGAGCCAGCUUGCCCUCUGACUUUAGGUUCAAUAUCUUUGGCUUUCGUGUUUAUAUUCAUCUUGGAAGUUCAGAAUUACUUUUAGUUUGCAAUGGAUCUACUUGUUUAUUAACCUAGUUUGAAUAGUGUGCCUGAUGUCCUCUGUCACGAUGAGGUGUAAUUUACAAAGCAAUGUCAUUUAUCGAAGAAUUUGACAUAGUUUUUUCAGUCUAUGGACAUGCUCGAAGCUCUCUAUCUUGCUUUCUCUUGCCCUUUGUUUUUUCUGUAAUUCCCAUGACUUGAUGUUGGCAUUCCUGUUGUUUUCUAGAUUGGACUGCUUCUUGUUUUAGGUAGAUUAAUUGGUUGGACAAUGUUUACAGUUGUUGACAUUAUUUGCCCGUCGCUUGCAAAUUUGACAGAACAAUUUGACAUGGGUGGCUAAUGUCUCGUGAUCCUUUUCUCUUUUUCCUUGACGGGAAACAUCUAUAUGUUGUAGCUUGGUCCACUGUCACAAUAUAUUACUUUUCAUGUAAACUAGCAAACAGUGAUCAUCUGUAAACUUACAUGUACAGUCCUGUAUUGCCUUAUGGCUGAAGAUUAAGUGUAUGUUAGCUUGCUUAUGUAGAUAAUGAACAGAGAAGGAGGAGCAGGAGCAGGACUAGGUAGUGGGAGCGGGCCUACAGCUGCUGCAGCUGCCCGGAAGCAGAAGACACUCCUACAAAGAGUUGAAAACAACAUUGGCAACAUUGUCAACAAUUUCAGUCAUCUUGUGAAUGUCGCCAGAGUAUGUAUACAUUUCUCCUUGCCAUCUUCCAGUCUGGAAAGCUUUAUCCCUCUCAGUAACAGUCAUAACUAUAGUUGAGAUUAUCCAUGCUUUUCCUUUGUGUGUGGCUAGGUGGAUCACCCUUGUCACUUAUUGACUACCANNNNNNNNNNNNNNNNNNNNNNNNNNNNNNNNNNNNNNNNNNNNNNNNNNNNNNNNNNNNNNNNNNNNNNNNNNNNNNNNNNNNNNNNNNNNNNNNNNNNUUGACUUGAUGCUGGACUUAGGUAUCGUGAAGUUAUGUCAAUGGAUAGGAGGGAAGGUUGCUUGGGCUCUUGUAAGCUGCUGAAAUUGGGAAAGACAUAUUGUUUCCAUGAUCUUGUUCUUCAUGAAUGGAGGAUUGAAAUUUUUUUAAUAUAUUCCAAGUGGAAAGAAAUCCAUUUUAGAUCUUAGAAGGCUGUUGUGAUGGACCUUUUGAUAAUGAAGAGUGGAGACCUAAUAUCAGAAAUUUUCAAGAUGUCGUGGUGAGGGGAUACAGAUUGAAAAAGUAUGGAUAAUAUUCAAAAUGUGGAUGUUUACUUCCUGAUACCAAUGCUUUCAAAAUUAUGAGCUUAGAUCAAGUAGAUGAUAAAAGUAAAGUUUGUCUUUGCCAUUCUAGUGAUUCAAGUAGCAUGUACACUCAGAGAGAUUUUUCUUUAUGAAAUGUGUGAAGAGGUAUUACUCUUAUUGAAAAAUAAAAGAACACUUGUUCUAUAUUUUUGUCUUCAAUUUGAAAUUUCCAAACUGGGAAGGGUUUGAUAUCUGAAGAGCAUCCAUUGUGGUAUUGACUCAGUCUUCUCACUUAUGGCAGGUGAAUGACCCUCCAGUCAGAAACUCACAAGAAGCUUUCAUGAUGGAGAUGCGUGCAGCAAGAAUGGUAAGAUUUGGACUUUAAUCUGAAGUGAGGCUUGGCCAUUUAAUUAUUGUAACCGACAAAAAAUAGUUAAUUCUGCUCACUAACUUAAAAAGCAGUUAAUGUUUGGCAUAUGUUUACCACAUGUCAAUUUGGUAAUCCUCUGCUGAAUCCAUGAGAGACUCAAAAUUUCAGGGCUAUGAGACAUCUAGAAAAUGGAUGUAGGAUUUCUUUUUCAUGAUAAUGGGAAUUUCAUUAUCUCAGAGAUUGCAUUUGCCACACAUGUAUUAGCAUUUAGCAAUAGCAAUAACCAUAAUGCGAAAUGACCCUCAAAAUCUGGAUUUUUUGUAUGGUUUAAAUGAACUUGAGGGAACACAAAUUGUCAAUCCAAAAUUAGUUACUCAAAUUGCAAAAUUCAGGUGGCUAAGUAUUAUUAACUUUUCAAGGAAUAUGAUGAAGUGGCGAGAGCAUCUUUCUAUAGUUCAAAUGAACUUGGGGGAAAAUAAGUGGCAUAACCUUGAGAUUAGUUACUUGAAUAGGUGAUGUGUGUGGUUAAGGACUAAAAACUUUUCAAGGAAUGUUAUUAAGCGGUGGAAGCAUCUACUUGUAAUGCUUCAGAAAUUUUAACCCUGGAUUGAUCUUUUUCUUUUACUUUCCAAAGCUUAUCAAAGAAGCAGCUUCUUUGUGCUCAUGUAUUUGUCUCCUCUGUCAUUUUGAUGCAGGUAUGCGAAAAAGGUUCAAGCGGCUGAUUCACUGUUGAAGGUGGUAUCGGAGCUGAAACAGACUGCCAUAUUUUCAGGAUUCGCAUCUCUAAAUGACCAUGUUGAACCGAGAAUUGUCGAGUUCAACCAACAAGCUGAAAAAUCGGAUCGUACGUUGUCUAAAAUUGCGGAGGAGGCAGCUGCCAGUCUCAAAGAGCUUGAAUCUCAUUACUAUUCUUCGUUGCAGAGGACGGCUGAUUCACUGCCCAAACUUGCUUGACCUUCAACAGCUACCCUGUGGCUUAUCAGUAUUGUGCCUUCAGCACUGCAAGAUUGAAGCUUCACAAUUUUCUAUGGUUAGAGGUCUGUCUGAAAUAGAACUCGAACACUGUUGCUUGGCAGAGACUGCAGGGACCAUCAGUCUUGGAGAUUUGAUGCGAUUGGAACUUCUGAAAAUAUCAGACUGCAAUGUGCGGACACUUGAUGGGCUGGAAAAUUUGACUCGUCUUAGAAAGCUUACUUUAGACAACUGUCAUUCAUUUACCGGAUUACCAGAUCAAGCAAAUCGUACAUUUGAAAUUGAUGAGUACAAUUUCCCAGAAGAACAAUAGUCGGCAGUUAUGUCACUCUCACCUAUGGUUAGAACAUUGUGGAAAUUGCUUCAAGAACGAUUCCAACUUCAAUGAAAAAUUGGAGGCUUUUCUAAAAGAUAGAUGAUGCACCAGUCGGUCUUUUUCUCUUUCGGCUAAGACACUGCCUGCAGUCAAAUUUCUUUGCAAUGUCCUCUCCACCUCGUGUGGGCUUGGAACUUCUCUGUUGGUAGGCCCGUCCUUGGGGGCUUGGACAGGCAAGUUUGUGCUUUGAAAUCUUUUGCCUGCUUUCGAUUCUAAUUUCUCAAUUGUUUCAUUUAUUUUCUAUUCUUUUAGUGUAAAAAAAAUGCAUAAACGGUAACUGGAGCACAGAAUCCAGCAUAAAUUACCAACUGAAAAGUUGAUAUUAGAUAAUCCAAUUGGCCAGUGCUUUGUGCAUGGAAACAUUCUUGGCAUUUUUUAUUUCUUUAUUGUUCGCUUGUUUUUGUCAUUCAGAAAAAGCUGAGGACAGAUUUAGUAGCAAUAUACCAGGUGGGCUGGGAUGGAUCCUCAAUAUCAGAGUGAUGAUUGGGCAAAGACUCCUACUUGGAGGAGGAGGAGAGAUGGCUGGCCAAUUUGUUUGAACGGGAGAUUUGUAGCCUUGAAGGCCGGUGGAUGCACGUUGAGAAGAUAAGCCAAUGUAACUCGAGUGCGGACGCAUGGAGUCGCACGCUGCGCCUUCCUUUUUGGGCUGAGGCUUAAAAGAUUGACAGAGGAGUAGCAGCUGCAGUGUUGCAGAGUUUUAACUCUCAAUCUGGGUGAUGUCAAUAACUUAAAAAAUAGUAAGAACGAUGCAUUUCCCCUACCCGUGUCGGUGUUGCAAUGAGCGUCAGAUGGGUAAUCAGUGUCUCAUUUCUGUUCUAAUCAAUACACCGAUCCCGAGUCCGUAUUGUGCAACUUCCAUCAGGCACUGCAUUUUUCCGUCAAACAUUGUUGUGCUGCAUCAUCCACUGUGCUCGCGCUCUUUUAUUCGAAGGCUAAAUAUGCGACAGUAAUAUGAAGUUAGCGCUUCCACAAGCCGAAAUAAUUCAUUUUGCAUUUUUCAAAAAGGAUUCUCCACCAUAAAAGCUUGUUAUACUACAUGUGGCCAUGUGACAAGGAGAAGAACUUACAUGCUUGUGUUCUAUGGUGGUCAUUUUCUCUCUUUCUUUCUUCUUUGCUACUGAGAAUGGUGAUCCGCGGGUGAUUUUCCUGAGGAAGCCUCCAAGAUGUGACAGGAACUGGAAUGCAUCAAAGGGUUAUCUUGUCAUCUUAAACUUCUGCUCUACUGAGGACAUUACAUGUAGACUAGAUAUAGAGAAAGCAAAAAUACAAGGGAACUCUUCUUGUAGCAGAGAGGAAAUGUAGAGUGCUCUCAGGUUAUUUUUUUAGAAUACGUCGUUGGAUAUAGAUUUUAAGUAUGGAUAUUUACUGUGUCACGAAAAAAUAUUGGAGCAUCUUAAAUAUAUCCUUGUCGUUAGAGACUCUGGCCACGUGGAUGCCUUAAAAAUUUCUGCAUUCCCUUCAAGCAAAUGGCCUUGGUCACCAAGAACACUGUGUGUCGUGAUGAGGAGUGAGUAUGGUUUGGAUGGGUGAUUCCUACCUUAGAAUCGGGAACAGCGCACUAAGGAUCGGACCGGAGGUCCGAUUGAGCCCAUGGAACCAAUUCGGUCCGAUUUUCUGGUGGGUCCAUGAAAUCGAUUCACAAUCCCUCUAAAAUUGCAUUCAUCAAUUAAUAUCAUGAUGAAUCUAAUUUUUAUCAGAAAAUUUGCCUAUGAUACGAGUUAGGGAAAAUGAAAAUAGAAUUCGUGACAAGAAUGAUAUCCACACGCACGGCCUUUCAUUAGCCUCGGAAUAGGGACUACAUAUUAGCCAUCAAAUUCCUUCUCAUUCUUUGACUCAUAUCAUGGAAAAUUUUAGAGUAGUAGAAUUUUGAUACACAGGUUCCACAUUCUAGGAUUGAUCAGAACAUUUUUAGUUUUAAAGAAUCAUACCAAAGAGAAAGAAAGAGAGGAGAGAGGUUCUAGGGUUUCAUGACAAAUUACAUAAUAUUAUUUUUGGAGAGGGUUCGUUUUGCCCCAUGACGUUUAUGUACCUUGCCUUAUAUAGGUAUAAAACAAUAUGUUUGAAUUUUAUAGACCCCGUUUGGCCAACAAAAGCCAAUUAUUGCAUUUGACGAGUUUUUCACCAAUAGACUUGACUUUUCACUUAUGACUCUAUCUUUUUUGCUUCUGCUACAGUGCUACAAUACCAUCAAUGGUAUGGUACACUACAAUACCAAAAUAGUACAUGAAUAGUGCUAAAACAAUAUGUGAAUAGUAUGCUACAGUAUUUUUGUCAAAUUUUUCAUCUCCUUCGCGUGAUUUGUCUGCCUCUUUUGUCUUGUCUUGAAGAAGUCUCUAGUAGAGUCUUCAACUCCUUUACUUAUUAUGCUUAUGAAUAGGCUUUUUAGUAUUAUUGUCUAAGUCAUUCGAGUGUUCUCCAUACUUCUGCCUUCUUUUGAUUUCCAGAGCUUUAAGAUGUUCGUUACUUAUAUUAUCUAGAGUAUGAACUGGACGGAAUGUUAGGAGGAUUAGGAGUGCUUCUUCUUCUUCUUCUUUUUUAUAUUGUUGCCAGAGCUUUUCGAGGAGCUUUUCUACUUCUUCAAUAGCUUUACUUCCCCAUCAAGUCCUUACUUGGAAUUUUCCCAAUCUAGGAUUUUAUUACAAUAGGAAAUAUUUAGAAGAUUGACUUGCCAAAUUUCAAGAAUACUCAAAAUAAUUAAGAUUAAUACUACGAAAAAUCAUUAAUUUGUAUCUUUAUAACAAAUUUAUCCUAAAGUAAAAAUCCUAAAAUAAUAUACUUUUGACAAAUUUACUUCAAAUUUUCUUAUGAUAAAUUUAUUUUCUAUUAGUUUCCGUUUAAUUUUACUAUUAAAUUGUUGAGUUGAAUGACACGGGACAAUUGAUUAAUGUAACAGUCUGAGAUUUUGCUCUUCGUUCAUACUAAUUAUGUGGUUUUUUGUGAUAUUUAUCCAAUUUAAUGGAUGAUAUAUUUGUCAUAAAUGUAUCAAUUUGGAAUAAAUUUAUCUAUACAAGUUUUUUUUUUUAAUGAUCAUAUGGGAUAAAUUUGUCAUAGAUAUAGUGAUUUUUGAUUUAUGAUGGUUAAAAAAUUAAUUUAUGAUAAAUUCGUGAUAAAUGUAUCAGUUUAGAUUUUUUAUGUAUUAACCCAAAUAAUUAACACCGGGAGUUCACUAAACAGGGGUCGAUUAGGGUAAACCAGAGCUGUCCAUCCUCCUCGUCGUGAUCCUGCAAUGAAGAAGGGGAAGGGCUCGGCAGAUGCAGCAGCGAUGGGCGGAGACGCGGCCUGGGGCAGCAGCUACUACUACGACGUAUACCUGAGUUUCAAAAAACUCGACACUUACCAUCAAAUCACGGACAUCCUUUACCAGAGCUUGGUCGACGCCGGAAUCCGCGUCUUCAGAGAUGACGCAGGACUGGGAGCCGGUGAUGAACUUGCCCGGCGGAUUCUGAAAGCGAUCGAUAGCGCCAAGAUCUACAUUCCNNNNNNNNNNNNNNNNNNNNNNNNNNNNNNNNNNNNNNNNNNNNNNNNNNNNNNNNNNNNNNNNNNNNNNNNNNNNNNNNNNNNNNNNNNNNNNNNNNNNNNNNNNNNNNNNNNNNNNNNNNNNNNNNNNNNNNNNNNNNNNNCCCCUCUGUACCGCGACGCCCUGUCGGAGCUCAGGAAUAAAUACACGCCCGAAGACGUGAAAGCGUGGGAAGGUGCUCUUAGAGAGGUCGGCUUUUUACGUGGAUGGGACACGAGAUCUGGACGGUAAAAAGGCCUAGACUAGACUUUACUGGAGGAGGGUUUGCAACUCAUAGAUCGUUUUCUAGAACAAAGAGAUUACUUCGUUUUUUAUGUUUGCGCUUUAAGUAGAUAUAAUCUUCAAAUAGUUGAUCCGCAGUUCAAUAGGAGUGGUUAUUGCUUUGUCUUUUCUAACUGAAACGAUUCACUUCUGUUGCAGGCUGUCUCACAUGAUCAGAGAAUUUGUUGGAGGAAUCGUGGUCAAGCUGGAGGUAAACCGUGUGCAUGUGAAUAAACUUAUAUGUGGUUCUCAUUUCUAAUUAUCAGUAGUUGAACCCGGAAACUGCUUGAACAUAUCUUCUUUGUAGGGUGUUUAUCUUAAGUAUGAGAUGAAAGACUAUUGACCCUAGUCCUAUUUAUAGGAGUAUGCAUGGCAUGGCAUGGUGUGGCAAACGACCUUACCUUAGAGGUACAGUUAUGGAAGUAAUUAGUCAUCAUUUUUGAUGAUUUUUGUAUCUCUAGAGAGAUUGGGUUAAUAUUGCGAAUGGAGUAUGAUCAUCCAAAGGUUGAUUACAUUCCAUCUAAUGCGAUAUCCUAAUUUGUUGAAUGGUUCAAGUGUUGUAUCAGCAUAGGUGGGAUCAUUUACUUGGAUAUGACUGGUGCAGCUAGGAAAUAAAGGAAAAUUAAUUUCAAUUGUUGCACUUUUUCAUUUCCCGCAGCAGAUUUCUUGUUUACAAUUUAUUUUGCUCUUGUAGGAGGUUUGAAAGAACUAUGAAGCAAAAGAACCAGUGGGAAUUGACAAACAAGUGGAUGACAUGAUGGACUUACUAGAUUUAGAAGUCAGUGAUGUACGAAUAGUUGGAAUCUGGGGGAGGAGUGGGGUCGGCAAGACGACUCUUGCCAAGUUCAUUUUUGAGCAAAUUUCCUUUAGUUCGACAGGUGUAGUUUCCUUGCAGAUAUUGGGGCAACAGCGAAACAACUUGGAGGUGUUCGGCUUUUGCAAAGCAAGUUAAUGUCUGAUAUCCUAAAUCAAGAAUACGAGGUUGAUCAAGUUGCAAAAGGAGUCAAUUUUUUAAAAGGAAUAUUUCGGAAUAUAAAAGUCCUAUUAGUUCUUGAUGAUGUGGAAGUACAGUCGCAUCUCCACGAAAUUGUUGGAGAGAAGCUUGAUUGGUUUGGUUAUGGAUCUAGGAUAAUUGUCACCACUAGUAUCAAAUCUUCAUAUCUCAGGGGUUGGCUCAUGUUUAUGGUAUCGACAUAAUGAAUGAUGAUCAAGCUUUUGAGCUUUUCAGAAAGCACGCACCACAAAGAAAUGUUCCAAUUCCAGAUUUUGAUUUAAUUGCAAAAGGUAUAAUUAAAUUUGUGAAUGGGANNNNNNNNNNNNNNNNNNNNNNNNNNNNNNNNNNNNNNNNNNNNNNNNNNNNNNNNNNNNNNNNNNNNNNNNNNNNNNNNNNNNNNNNNNNNNNNNNNNNAAUAACUUUUUUUUUGUUUCUUGUUUCUGUUCCAAAUGUGUUUCUGGGAACAAAAAAACAAUUUUGGAACAAAAACGCACCCAAACGCGUUUCUGUUCCUUUUUUGUUCCCAGGAACAGAAAAACAAAAAAAGUGUUUAAAAACAAAAAUAAAGAACAAAAACAAACGCAGCCUAAGGAGCUAAAUUUGCCAUUUGGCUUGGAUAUUGAGAAGAUUUUGAUGCUUAUUUAUGAAGAAUUGAGCAAAGAGCAAAGAGAGAUAUUUCUUGAUAUUGCAUGCCUCCCUGUUGAUGCGGAUUGUCGAAUUGCUUCUUUUAUGUGGCAUAAUCCAAUAUUUCCCGUUUGAUGGAGUCGAUGCACUUCGCGUCAUGUCCCUGGUAAAAGCUGCUGUUAAGGGAGUUUGGCCAACAGAUUAUACGAAAAGAGGACCAUCUAGGUCCAGGAAGGCGAGGCAGGUUAUGCAAUUUGGAAUUGGGCUGGAAUACAGAGAAGAUGGAGGUACAGUAUCCUGUCUAAUUCUAUAGCGUAAUGCAUGCCUUACCCUGUUCUCUAGCCUUGGAGUGUUGAGAAAUUGUCCUUUGUCUUUGAUGGCGACUUAUUUAACUCUCUCAUUUUUUCUUGACUUGAUACUUUUUCCAUUAUAGGGGACAGACCACCUCAACUUUGUUGCGGAAGAUUUUAAUAGCAUGCGAAACAUAAGGUUUCUUAUCUUGGAUUGUGCAAAAGUUGUCGGUAGUUUUGCCAAUGUUUUUCCAAAUUUAAAGUGGCUCCAAUGGCAAGGAUGCACCAGAGAUUUUGAAGCUACUAAUUUUCAUGUCAAGAAAUUAGCCAUUCUUGAUCUUUCAUGGAGCAAAGUCACUGAAGACUGGGGAGGCUGGAGAGAAAUCAAGGUAAAUUAAGCUGUGUUUAUUUCAUUGAAUUGUUAUGCUGAUAAAUAAUUUUCACCAUAAAGAUUUUUAUGAGUACUGAUUUAAGAUGGUGGGACUUUCUGGCAUAUGGCAUGUACAUAACUGAAUUUUACUCCUGAAAUAUUUAAGGAAAUAAUGGGUUGCCUGCCAACAACAAUUAGAGGGUUUAUGGACGAUGGUGGUGUUGGAAUCUUAGGUUGAGUGAGUUAAGGGGAAUGAUUUCCUGGUUGUUGAAGGGGUAAGCCAUUCUUGAGAAUUUAAAUAAGCAUCUUCUUUGACUAUGAAAACAUUUUCCAUUGGAAAUCUUCCUAAACUAUGCUAGGAUUAGGAUUGUAAUUUUAGAAAACAUAUUUCAAAAAUUGUUUUUCUUCAAAUCAAACAGAUCCUUAGUGUGACAUCCCAAAUUUCUGAUUCUGUUUUCAAUUAAAUGAGACGGACUUUUCAUCGACGCGCUUAUAGUUCAAUUCUCCGAGCUGAUCACUCACGAGAUAACUAGUCUAUCAGGGGAAGCCGUUAAGGAAUUUAAAUGCAAUAGGCUUGAGAAUCUGACCAUGAACCGACUGCUCGACCGUAUAAAUCUGCAAGGAUCAUUAUGACACUGUCAGAAUCGAACAGAGAUCAGUAAUAGGUCGAUUCGACUGAGAUAUGUAAUUAGAGUGUGGGUGAUUCCACCUGAUUUCAAUAUCCUCGUCGACCGGCACUGAACUGAUUAUUCUAUCGUUUUGGGUACCCUGUGUCCGUAUUUGAAACCUCGAGAUUUUCACGACAAUCAAGAGUCGCUAAUGUGUCGAAGAUUAUGUCGUGGCUUGAAAAUAAUCAACCACGGGUCAAUUGCACUGAAAAUUUCCUAAAAGCUACCCGGUAGAUUAGGACGCGCUCAAAAUCGCGCCAGAUUGAAAUUAACCGUGAUUUUAAAUCCGGAUUCAGAAAUUGAAGGUUCUGGCAUGUCACAAUUCAUUUUAGGAACGUCGACUCAUAUUCAGAAGAUUUUUCUACAAACCGAGAUUUUGGCGGAAAAGCAAAGUAAGGCCGUUUUUGUUCGGGAUUGUCAGAGGGCCGUUUUGAAUCGAAUCUUCAGGAUGCGAGUUGGAUCAUUUGACGGGGAAAUGUCUUGAGAAGGCCGAGGACACAUGGACCGAUUUAUUUGAGCUUCAAUUGAGCUUCAAUUGAUUGGAAUUAAGAGAGAAUUGAAUGGAUUGAAUUAGGGCUGAGCGCGGUUCCCGGGUUACCCGGGAACCGGAACCGAACCGGAGGAGGGUCCGGUUCGGUUCCCGGUUCCAAGGGGGACCGGUUCCGGUUCCGGUUCCGGAACCGGAACCUGUUUCGGAACCGGAACCUGUUUGGGAACCGGAACCGGAACCGGUUACUUAGGGCAGAAAAAGCUCGACCUUGGAUGUUCUAGUGACUUGUAUGUGAUGUUCUAGUUGAAUUUUGGCUUCGGCCUCUAAAUGAAAGUUGUAAAGGACUUCUUGUAGUAUAACCUACUCAAAUUUGGGACAAAAAAAACAAGUAUAAGUGGGUGAAAUCGUUAUUCUUUGGAAAGACUGGAUCUGGAGAUUUUGGGACCGACCCUUGAUGAAUGCAUGGACUGUAAGGCAACCUUUUUGUCGAAAUUUCACUUCGGUUUCUUAACAAAAGUUGUAAAGGACAUCCUGAGGUACAACAUAUAAAAAAUUUAGAGAAAAAAAACAAGAAUAGGUAGGUGAAUCGUGGUCCUUUAGAGAUGGUUAGAUCUGGAAUUACGGUACUACGAACAGGGAUUUUAACCGUCCAUAUUUAAUUAUCUAGGACGAAUUUGACUUCGAUGUUUUCAUGAAGUAUCUACCUUAUGGUCUUGGCUAUCACAUAUUCGAAUUUCAUAAUUUUUGAAGGUCAUUUGGGUAUUUAAUCGGAAAUGUUUCUAAAACUGUGCAAUCUGAUGUGUUCGGAUCUUGUAAGUUGCAAUGCGUGGACUAUAUCAUUUUGUAUGAGGUUCUUUUGGAAAUGUGUUCUGCAUGAAAUAUCUCUCUUCAUGUCUUCCCUACAACAUAUUUAAAUUUCGUAAUUUUUGUAGUUCAUUUGCCUAUUUAACCAAAAAUGUUUCAAAAACUGUGCAAGUAGAGAAUAGGAAAAGUAAAUCAAUUUUAUCUUUUGAUCCAGAAUGAAUUGGACUACGAUUUCUUCAUGAAACUUGUACCUCUAGGUCUUAAAUACAACGUGUCCAAAUUUCAGAAUUUUCUGAGUUCAUUUAAGUGUUUAAUCGAAAUUGUUUUCAAAACUUGUACCUCUAGACAUUCUUGUUCUAGUGGUGUUUUAUUUAUACUUUCUAGUUUGCUAUUUGUUUUGAAAUUUCUAAUUAUAUUCUAUUAUUGUUGUGCAGUGCGAAGUUAAUGUAUCAAGAUAACAUGUCAAUGGGAAGUUAUCGUGUAGUAUACACGUACAUUAUAGUUUUUUUUGGUAACGUGCGCAUACGUUAUAUUUUUUUUUAGUAACGUGCGUGCACGUUAUAAUUUUUUUUUGGUAACAUGCGCAUACGUUAUAUUUUUUUUUGGUAACGUGCGCAUAUGUUAUAGUUUUUUUUUUUGGUAACGUGCGCGUACGUUAUAGUUUUUUUGGGUAACGUGCGCAUAUGUUAUAGUUCAAAUCUGAAAAAAAAAAAAAAAAAAAAAAAGGAACCUGUUGGAACCUGGAACCGACCCUGGAACCUGUGACAGGGUAGGUUCCAGGUUCUCGGUUCCCACGGGUAGGUUCCAGGUUCCGGACGGAACCGAACCGGAACCUGGAACCGCUCACCCCUAGAUUGAAUGGAGGAAUGUCCAAAAUUCGUAGCUCCCAUGGCACACCACAUUUUGCACCUAUUGCCAAGCUUGUAGAGGAAGAUUGGAGGAGAGAGAGUGGCUGAGGUCAUGUGGUGUCAUGGUGGGGGCAAAGCUAAUGAGAAGAUGGCAAGUGUUGAGCUCUAGAGAGCCCAAGGAGACCCCCACUCUUAAGCAGCUUCUUCUCUAAGGCUUUCUCCAUUGUUGUUGAAGGAGAGAAGCUCAGCAAAAACCAGAGGAACCGAGCAGCAUCAGCCCUCCACCGUCGCAUGCCCAUCGGACCCCAUUUCCUCCUCUGUUUUUCCCCUCGUUCCAGUUUCUGCUCCAGCCGACCUUUCGCCAAAGAUCCGAGUAAAAAGUUAACUUCCCAGUUGAAUCAGAGAACGAGCCACCCAUCACCGUGAAGACGACAUCCAGCCCGUACCGGAGCACCUCGCCUCUUGCCGGAACGAUUAUCCGGUCGUCCCGAAAUCCGGUGAGAAUCUGCCGCUCGCCGGACCGCCUGGUUCUGCCCUGCUCCGCCUGUUUCGCGUUUUCUUGCUGUUUCGCCCCUUUCCGACCUUUUCUUUGCCCAUCCCAACCUCCAGCAAGAUCCCCUUGACCCCCGGGAGCCGCUGGUUGCCAACCACCCGCUCGCCGGAGCUCCGAUCAUCCUGUUUUCGCCGUUGAAGUUGCUGGUUUCUUCUCUGCAGUUCAAUCCAGAUCAGAAGCAGAAGACAGCAAGGUUUUGGAGACUUCGUGGCCCAUUUUCAAGCCCUUCCCGGCCUCCGUUGGUGUCGCCGCUUUGGGGUUUAUCGACCGCCUUGGUGUCGUGGUCGCCGUGAACUCACCGGCGCGCAAAACCGGUGAGUUUAUCAUCUAAACCUCGCUUAACAAGUUAAUCAUGCUUAAGGGGUGUUUAGAUUAGUCUAAUUAGGUUUAGGUGGUUAGAUUAGAUUAUUUUAAUGUAAAUUAGCUUAGUUGUAUGAUUAGUUCAAUGGAUGUUUAAUUAGGGCUAAUUGUAUGUUUAAAUUAGUGUAAUCUUGUUUAAGCCCUAAUUAAUUAUUUUAAUUAAAUAAUUAUUUCAAAUUUUAUAAAUAUUAUUUUAUUAAAUUAUAUUAUUAUAAUAUAUUAUUUAAUUAUUUAAUUUUCGGAAUUAUAUUUAAUUAUUUAAUAAUUUCGAAAAUUUUGCCGGGAUGGCCGAUCGUUAGAAUUUCGCACUGAUCGCAGCAGUGCGGUCGGUUUGUGCUAAUUAUAUGUUAAAUUGAGUGGAAAUGAUGAUUAUGGUUAAUUAUUCCUAAGUGAGGAAUUGAAUAAAAUUUGAGAAGUUUUGGUAUUUAACUUGAAAAUACCCGGUGUUAGCUUCUAGCACCGUGAUUGGUUUGUAUGGCCAGUUUGAAUCGAUGGGAUUUAUUGAUUGAUUUAUUUGAGGUUUGGAUUAGUUUAUUAUUGAAUUAUCAGCUUUUGAGAGCUAUUAUAUCAGUUACAGCUUUGGCGAGCUAUUAUAUCAGUUACAGCUUUGGCGAGCUAGUAUAACAGUUACAGCUUUGGUGAGCUAUUAUAUCAGUUACAGCUUUGGUGAGCUAUCUAUCUAUACAGCUUGAGCGAGCUACCGUCUAUAUAUUACAGCUUUGGAGAGCAUUUGUCGUAUUAACGACUGGUUUGAUAGACGGCAUGGAAAGAUAGAUAAUAUGAUUGAUUUGAAUCAUUGUGAAUGAUCGGAUUUGGUUGAAUUAUGAAAUGUACUGAUGUGCAGGAAUGGACUGAGGCGAGGUAAGUCCUUAAUCCUCUUUGUGUGGCUAGAGCACCUUGGGGCUUAUUUUCUUCCUAAUCGAGUUUUAGAGGGUAUGACUCGCUGAGACAUUGUCUCAUCCCGGUUGUGGGAUAAUAUUUCAGGUCCCUAGAUGGCGGAUCCUCCGGAGCUUUUUGGUGGACCAGUGAGGGUCGCUGAGAGGAUUUUUGACUUCGCCGAUCUCAACUGAAGAGCUGGCGAAUGGACCUGUCUAGCUGAUCUUAGGACAGCUUAGUUUUUGAGGACUGAUCUUCUAUAGAUCUUUUGUAAAUAGCCUAGUCCUGUAAAUGAACUGGUUUGAUAUGUAUAAAAAGUAUGUGGUUGGUUUUAAAAAUGUGAUCCUGCUUUUCUAUCCCAAUUGAGUUUUGUCUGGGGAUUAUUUAUCCGCUUCCGCAUGUGUAAUUAAAAAGAAUGGGUCGGCGACGUGUCCUGGGAAGUCGCAUUUCUAUCGACCGCAGUGGGAUAUGCGCGUGCUCGAGGUUCGGGGCGUGACACUUAGACUUUGUUUCCUCUGAAGAUUUGUUCAAUGUAAGAAUUAAUGUUUCGAUGUUAUUUUUUUGCAGAUGCCACAGUUGAAAGUCCUGAAUCUUACUGGUUGUGCUGAUCUAUUGAUAAGUCCUGACUUGUCCUCUUUCCCAGACUUGGAGAUAUUGAUUCUUGAACGAUGUUCUCAACUAGUGAAGUUAGAUCCUUCGAUCCUUCAUCUAAAAUGCUUAACUUCCUUGAAUUUGAGGUUCUGCGAUGAACUCAAUAUGUUGCCAAUUGAACUGGGUCACGUGAAAGCUCUUAAAGAGCUCCUUAUUGAUGGGACUUCGGUACAAGAAAUUCCUGUGUCAAUGGGUUACAUGAAGCAACUUGAGCUUUUUAGUGC
rnacentral:lncRNA from 1 species